rnacentral:lncRNA from 1 species
GAAAAAAAUGGUUGUCUUAGUUUAUUUUAAAACGUUAUUGUUUAAAGUAAAAUCAAAUCAAAUACCUCCAAAUUAUAAUUAUAAUUUUAAAAAAUUGUCGAAACUAUAUAAUUAUAUAACUUGUGAGAAUUACUGUCAUUAUAAUUUUUUAGAUAACUUAUAAACAAGUGACAAACUUUGCUUUCCUUUCCCUUACAAUACUCUCCCACUUGAAUCAUACCAUCAUUUCUCUGUCAAAUAAAAAGAAGAACAGCAAAUUUUGUUUUGUGAUAUUCGGGUUAUCAUGUAAUGAGUUUGUAAUGCAAUCCAAAAAAUCUACAUUUUAAUUGAGUGAUUGGAUCCGAGUGAUAACACAAAAUUCAUUUAAUUCUCGUAGUUUUACCCUAACUUUUAAAUUUGAAUGUUUUAUAAAUAAAAACAAAUGAAUUAAUCAAAUGUGACCAAAUACAAUGUAUGAUAGUUGGUGAAUUCAAUUUUCAUUAGUACUUAAUUAUUAAAAAAAUUGGUGAGUCCAACCCUAUAGCCAUCAAAAAAUACCACAUGCUUCACCAACUUAUGGCAGGGGGAAAAUGAUAUAUAUAUAUAUAUUAUAUAUAUAUAUAUAUAUAAGGCUUUUUUUGGUAUUAUGGAACAAAUAUCUUAACUAUGCUAAAGUUUAUAUUACUUUAGGUCAAAAAAAUAACAAAGAAAACAACAAAAUUUGAUGACUUUGCAGCCUUUGAUAAUUCUUCUUUAAUAUUCAUAAUAAAAGUGAAAAUUUUAGUAAGUUUGCAUAAUUAAAAUUUAAAAAAGUAAAAUUUUAGAUUUUAUAAGUAAUAGACUUUAAUAAAUUUUUAUAAUGUGUCAACAUGUCAUUUAACAAACAUUAAUAAAAAUUUAUCCAUUAAUUCUAAUAAAAUGUUACAUAUAUACUACAAACUUUUGAUACUCAUCUAACUUAAUUUAGACUUGAGUAUUAUAAUUUUUCUAGCCAUAUUUCAUAUUCCAAUAUUUAUUUAGGUAUGGUUUAAUUUGAUCAUUUAUAUACUUCUAAUUCCUAUGAAUCAACUUUGAUAUUGGUAAAAAGUUAGACCAGGAUAACUAUUUCAAUUUUUGUUUUUGUUUUUUAUAGUAUUUAAUUUAAUUUUUUAUUAUUUAAAACAAAAACUAUAUACAACGGCAACCUUUUUUCUUUGAAAAGAAAAUAUACUUUUUAUUUUUACUUCUUUUUUCAUUUUCAAUUUUUGUUCCUAAUUUUUAAAAUUAAUUUAUGAUUAAAAAAAGUAAAUCAAUUAUCAAAACACAUGCAUUUUUUAAUUUGUUUUUCUAAAGAAAACAUUAUUAACACUCCAAAGGAGUUGUUUGACUCAGUUAAUAAAUUUAGCAAAAAAAUGUUGGGUGGAUAAAAAAAUCAAUCACCUAUUCGUAUUUACUCACAUUUUUUUCAAAAUAAUCACAUUUCUCACACGUUAUACGUGUUAACUCCUCUAAUUACUUUCUUAUACUUAUUACUAACUCAACCUUUUAUUUUUAUCGUUAACCAUAUGCUUUCUUAGAAAUCUAAUGUUUACAAGUAAAAACUAGAGUGUACAAUUAUAGCCAUCAUUGUAUUUAAAGUGUGGUUUCUUUUGUUCCAAUUUGAUAAAUAAUAAAUGGAGGAAAAGUAACAAAAAAAAAUUAUAAUAAUAAGAUGCAUAUCACCUCAUUUUUAAAUUAAAAGAUAACAAAUUUUAAAAAGAAUAAUUAUUUAUUUAGUUACUUGCGGCAAUUUUCCAAUAAUAAAUGGUAACGCUUCUCAAUUUAAUUUUUAUUUUAAAGAAUAAAAUUUGGAUGAAAGUGAAGAAAUAAAAGCCGUUAGAUUUGGGGCCUCUAAAAAUGACUGUGGAGGAAGUGGUGGGGCCCAAGGGGUUGGAUCAAACCGUUAAGCAUUCUCCGCAUGUGAAUUUCUGAAGUGGGCCACGUUGGUACUGGCCCCACGCGUGUACACUAUCGACACGGCGUCUUACACGUGUAUGAAAAUAAUACCCUCCACGUCAUCUUCUUUGAUUUGAGCUGUUCAUGAUAUCGAAAGAAUCGACAAAUAUUUCUUUUUUAAAAAAAGAAUAGUGGUUUUGUUUUAAUAUCUUUUGAAACUGAUGAUUCAAUUCCAUUUCUUGUUAACUUCAUUUUUUAUUAUUUUUUUUUUGUAAAUGAACAAAAUAAAAAUAAACAAUCCAACAAAAGACACCGAGUAAAAGAUAAUAAUAAUGGACGAUUUUAUCUUUUCAUAAAUUAUAAUUUAAUUUUCAAAAUUAACAAAUUUUAUCAAAUAUUUACCACCUAUAAUUAUUGAUAUGCUACACACUUGUAGAAUCCAAAAUUUUAUCAUAACUAGUAAAUAUUUUAGUUUAUUUUACUAUUUUUAAAAAUGUAACAAUUUAAAUUUUAUUGUAAAAAUUAGUAUUAAUAUUCGAUGAAAUAUUUUUGACCUCAACCUUAGCCAAGAAUGAGGUUGAUCAGCAUAUACGGUCCUAUUUGGGUUGUGAGAAGAUGAUGGUAUGGAUCCAAAACUCAAACUAACCUCCUUGGCCUCAAUAUAGAAAGAUGAGUCAGGAUGAGAUUAAGGUUGACAUUCUCCAUUUGGCAUGCACUAACUCAUUCAGUUUGAGAGAUAGUCUAUCUUACAUAUAGGAUUAAAAAACUCAUAUCGUAAUGUUAGUUGGACAAAGAUAAAUUUUAAGUAAAAUUAACCGUACGUAGAUACACCAAUAUGGUUACAAAGUAACUGAAACUUUUUUCUAUUAUAUAACUCUUAUCCAUUUUUCUUUGUUGUGCAUAUUCCCUCUCCUUUAAAUUACAAAUUCUAAGUGUUUGUAUUCACUUAACAUUUGACCAGCAUUUAUAAAAUACAAUGCCUACAUCAUAAAAUAAUAAAAGUCGACAUUUAAUUUUAAAAUUUUUUAGGUUGAAAACUAAAUUAUUACAAAUCUAAAAAUAUAAGAAUUAAAAUGUUCCACUAUUAAAAUUGUUAUAAAAUUAAAAAUAUAGAAAUUAAAUUGUAACAAAUCUACAAAAUUAGAAAAUUAGUUUUUAAAAAAAGUUUCAAAAACUAAAUCAAUAAUUCACUUAUAAGUUUAUGACAAAACUUUGUAAUUUGAAUUAAAAAAAUUAGUAUUUACAUAAAACAUUUUAAAAAGUAAUAAUAAAUAUUCUUCAAUUUGGGAAUGUUGACUCAUAGGAAGAAGCUAAGAUGAAUAAUGUGUAUCCAAAAAGUAGUUUUCAAUGUACUUUAAUUCACAUGGAACCAUAAGCCAAAAUGAGAGGUAACAGCCAAGCAGCCAUGGCAGCCUGCCACAACUUGUACAUUUAAUAUUUCAUUUUUUCUUCAAUUAGCCAUGGCUUUAUCCAAGAAUUAGAACAAAGAAUAGGAAUAAGAGCCGAAGACAAGGAUAGAAUGGGCAAUCGAGAUUGGAGAAUUUUUUAGAUAAUUGUACGAAUGACAACAAAAAUUAGGUUAGCUAGAAAAUAAUACGAUCAAUUUCACUUUCAGAAUGUUAUUUUUAACGUCCAUUUAUAUCAACGUGAAAUAUCAAAAUUGAUUAUUCUACACAUGUGAUAGGAUUUCGCUUUCACUUAUAUUUAUGACUAUUAUUCCGUUUUUUUUUUCGCUUUGUAUCGAUUAACUAUCAAUGUUGUAAUUUUUUUUUCUUGUCGUUAUUUGCUUUCUCUACUACUAGUGAACAUACAACGAAGAACAAAGAGUUGUUGUGAGAGGAAAGAAAACAUCAUUUAGUCAUCACGAAAGAAGAAAUAAAGAAAAAUGAAAGAGAAAGAGGAGCGAGUGUGAGAAAUAACCUAAUCUGUAUUUGUCCGUGAUAAUCCAUUUUGGUAAUUUCACACACUUAUAACGUGGAAAUACAUGAAGUUUUUAAAAAUUGAUAAAAUCUUAAUUUUGACAAAAAUUUGAAUCAUUUCAUCCAAAACCUAAAAUUUUUCGAAUAGAUUUUUUUUUGUCUUUGUUUUUCUAAAUAUAUUUUUAAAAGUUGAUUUAGUAAUUUUACUUGAAAGACAAUGUGUUAAAGUAAUUACAAGAAUUUUGAAAAUUAGAAAUGGAAUUGGAAUAUAAUAAAGUAUGGUAUAAUUGGAAAAUUAAAGGGAUUUUGAAAAUAGUCAAAAGCAUUUGCAAAUGUUUCUUUUGUGUUGAAAAAAACUAACUUAAUGGCUUAAGUGUAUACAUGAAUGAUUAAAGCAUACCUCGAAAUUACUUUUAAAAUGUAGAAUUACUUUACAUUUUUUUUCAAGUAUAAUAAUAGGGGUAGGAAAAAAUUUAAUUUUCAAUUCUUUUAGAAGUACAUGUACGAGUAUUACUAAGUUAUACUAUUUUUGUUAAAUAUAACUAUCAAAUAUUUGUCAAAACAAUUUAAUUUAGUCGUAAAUGACAAGAAUUUUCAUCUAAAAGGUUCAAUUCUCCGUCUUCAAAAUGUUGUAAUAAAAAAAGAGAACAUUCUUAAAUACAAUCUAAAAAAUAAAUUAUUUAUAAAAUAUAAAAAAUAUACGUCAAAUUCUCUCAAGUUCGUUUAACUUUUUCUUUUGCUAUAUGCGUAAAUAGUUUCAAUUUUUUUUGUUAUUCAAAUAUUUGAGAAUUAAUUAAUAUACCAAUCAGCAAAUUAGCAAAGUGAUGGUAAUUAAAAAAGUAAAGUAAAAUUUAAUUUAAUUGAAAAUCUCAUAAGCAAAUGAUUUAAGUUGGAAAUUUUUUAAUGGGGCCUUCUUAUUUAUUUUUUUAAAAAAUUAUAAUAGGAUUUUUUUUAAAUGUGUUGUUUUUCACUUAUUUAAAUUGGUGACUAAUUUUAGUUUUUUUCAUAACAAAAUAUUACGUAGAAAUUCACAAUAAAUAAUAGAAUUCUUGAAAAUAUUUAUAAAAUAGUUAUGGUGACUUAUUACAUUACUCAUAAAUCCUUGUAGGAGUGAAAAACACUUAUUAAAAUCCAAACAAGUUAUUAUAUAAAGCUUAAACUCUUUAAAAUAGUUAUAUUUCUAAGAAUCACUUUAUUAGACCAAGCUUAAGUUAAGUCUAAAUAACUUCAAUAUAUCAAUCUAAGAAUAACAAAAAGAAAAUGUGGCAGCAAUUAGUCUCAAACAAAAAAGUAAGAAAAAACAAAUAAAGAGAAACUUCAAUCAAAAUUAAUUUCAACCAAAAUUAGGAAGAAGAAAAAACCCUAACAUUACAUAACCCAUAAUUGAUCACAACUAAAAUCGACAAAUAGAAACUUCAAUCCAAUUUAUCACAACUAAAACUUGAAUCACAAUCAAAACUUCAAUCCAACUUAUCAUAUCUAAUUUUUCAUAACAAAAACUUAGAAUCUUCGAAAUAGACGCACAAGAGACAUUUCAUACCAUAAGAGAUACUUGGUGGUAGUGGUGGCAAAGGAGACCAGUGGUCGAAGGUGGCGUCGAAUCAGUGAAACGAUGAGCGACGGAAAGUGACAGAAAUGAUCUCAAAUGAGGCGCAUGGGGAAUGGUCGAUCUGUCUUAUCCUCUUCAACUAUUCACAUAUGUGAAAUGUAGAUCUAAAAGAGGGUUUUAAAAGCAAACUCCCAAUGUUACACAAUAAGCGUUGGGUGUUCUCUCUAAAUCCUGAUGUAUAUUUUAAGCCAUCGAAAACUCCUAGAACGCACAUAUAAUUUGUCGACUAUUUUCCUCUCAAAUUUCAAUUUAUACUCUUUAGUUGCCAAGGUCUUGAUACGACACCGAGAGUUACACCCUAUUCUCAACGCCUAUGAUAUAACGUCGGGAGAUAUAUUGGAACUUUCAACGCCUAAUCUUCCGACAACGUUUUUAAACAUUGGGAGAUCCUCAAUUCCUUACACUACAACACCUCUAUAAAUAGAUUAAAUUUCAUGAGACAAAUUUGAAUCUUACUCUCAUACUCUAACACUACAACAAUGUUCAAAAUUUCUCUUUUAUAAGUCACAAUCUUCUCUCGAUAAAAAAUAUAUAUUGUCGAUCUCGCUAGAAGAUAGAUGUGUCAUUUUCAUCCAAAUUUUGUCAUCAACAAUGUUAUUGUUAUCAUUUUGAAUUAUAAACAACAUUUAGAAUUGAGAGAUUUGAACGUUGAGAUAAUAUAUUUAAAAGGCUAAAAUACAAUCAGAACUACUAGAAUCAUACAAGUACUAAAAUGCAUGUAAAAUUGAAAACGAAAUAAAAAAUAAAAUCGUAAAGCAUAAAAAAAAAUUAAUUAAAAACUGUCCAAACGAAGUAUAUUUAAUAUUAUAAUUCAUAUUCACAUUACAUUUCAAUUUCAUUAUUAAGUUGUAAAAAACGAAAAGAAAAGAGAAUAUUUUAUUAAAUGUUUUUGCUAUAAGUAAAUUAACUUUAAUAAUGGUGUAUGACUUUUAUUUACUUUGUUAAUUUAUCUUUUUACCUUUCUAUCCACACGUGGCUUUGGCCGGUCGCCUUCCCUUUCUUCUCUCUCACGUUUGGCAUUUUUACUCUUACCCUCCAAUUUUCUUUUAUUUCUUUAUUUAUAUAUAAUAUUCUCUUUUCAUUUUUAAAGAAAAAAUGUUUCAUAAAUCAUAUAAACAAAAUUAAUUAAUUAAGAAAUUUUAUGAUUUGAAGCAAUAACCUAUCCAUGUGUUCUGGCUUGCUUACAAAUUAUAGAUGCUAAUAUUAAUAUUAAUCUGUACAUUUGGGUUAAAUUACUUGUACAUUGACAUGUCCAAAAAUAUUUUAAUCAUUGACUAAGUGAGAUAUUAAAUAUGGUAAUGCACGAUAAUAUUUUAUUUAUUGUAUAUUUAAUCUAAACUUAUUAAUUCAAAAGUUGGUGUAUAUUUAGACAUGUAUCUUUUUUAAGUCAAAUGUUUCAAUUUUUUUUAUAUCCAAUUUGUUUUUAUGGAUAAAAAUAAGUAAUAUUAUUUUUAUAUUAUUGGAGAGGGAAUUUAAUAUUUAGUAUUCACACAUAAUGCAAGCGGACAUAAAAUAAAGUUUGAAAAUUGAGUUUCCUAUUUAAUUUCAUUGUUAUUGAAUAUGGACUUCGUGUUCUAAGAGGAAUAUAGAAAAAAAAAAUUGCUAUGUAUUACAAACCAAAAAAAUAGAAAAUACAUAUAAAAUAUGAUAGAAAUUUAUAUUAUAUCAAUAUAGAUACCGAUGCACUUUUAUUGGAUACAAAAUAUAUUUUUUUUAGAAAAUGUUUUGAUUUGAAAAUGGAAAUGGAUGUAUUUAACUUUUUUUUUAAAAAAAAAGUUUAAUGACAAAUUUAUAUGCUAUAUAUAAUCAGGUGUAAAAUUAUGAAAAGCUUGAAUAUGAUGUCAAGCUUUUAAUCUUUGUAAGCGCUUCAAUGUACAAUAGUUUAAGUACUUUUGACUUUAGUGUCUAAUCAUUUAUCACUUUUUGUAUUGGUCCCUUAGACUUUAUAUGUUUAAUUUUUGGUAUCAGUUUCAUUAAAUUGAACCUUUAGUCUCUAUCAAAUAUCGUAUACAGAUAACACAAUAUGUUCUAUUUAGUAUUGAUAAAGAAUAAAAGUUAACUAUAGUCUUUAAAUAACAAAUAACCAAAAUAAAACAGACUGUGAAGAAAAAGAAUAAAAAUGGACAAAAGUUUAAUUAUAUAUACAAUAUUUGUAAAAAUAUUGUAAAACAUCACAAUAAAUUGUUAUACAUAUCUUUUAUGAUAUAAAAUACAAAUUGUAAUUAAUCAAGGUCUAUAUUAGAUCAAAAUAAUUCAUUAAAAAAGUUUUGAAAUUUUUGUUUAAAAUUAUUGUGGUCAUGUAAGGUCAGUUAUUAAUUCAAAAGCUAUAUAUUAUUACAACACUAAAAUUGUUAUAUAACAAUAAUCCUAAAAUUACCAAAACAAUAUCAAAAUCCAAACUAAAUCAUUAUACCAAAUUUAUAAGAUACAAUAUUUGAGGGGAAAAAAAAUCUAAAAUUCGUGAUUUGUUUUCAUAAUAUUAUAUUUCUCAUUCAAUAAAUUUUGAAAUAUUUAUAAAAUAGUUAAAAAUAAUUUUUGGAUGAUAGGUAUAAAUAAUAGAAUUUAAUUAUUGAUAGAUUACAAUAUCUAGGUUGAAUGAAUUUAAAUUACAAUAUUGACUGUUAAAAUUGAGGGUGUCUAUCAACAUUUACCAUUGAUAUAAUUUAAUUUUUUUUAUAUUUAAAAUAUAAAAAUAAAUUUAGUUAUGUGUAUAAGAUAUCUAAAAUUUGAUAGUUGAAUCUUAUGUUAAAUAAUAGAUUAAUGAAUUCUGAAAUUCUAAAUUGAUUAAUUAAUUUGACUAUUUAUAUAUAUAAAUAUGUGGGAAAAAAUGAUUGGAAUUUCCAAAAUUGAAUAAACCAUUACGACAGCAAAGCCCCUGGGCUCUUGCUUUGCUUUGCUUCCCUUCGCUUCAUUCAAAGUUUCGUACAGCGCCAGACUUUAAAGAUAGAACAAGGAGGAGGAAGAAAAAAGCUUUCCCAUGGUGGUGGCCGCCAUUGAAGAACCUUCAUCCUUCAUGGCUUUUCCAUAUUCAAAUCAAUAGCCAAAGACAGAACCGAACCCACAAGCAUAAAUCGUUGAAGAUUAUGAAACACACAUAACACACACAAAAGAAAAAAAAAAAACCCCCCGUAGAUUUCAUCUUCAUAUAUUAAUAUUUUUUUUUUUUUAUAUCGAGUAUUAUCACAUUGUUGUAAGGUUUCGUAGAAGUUUUGUCUUAUGUCAAGAAUCAAAUUUCUCUCCUUCAUCAUUCUCCUCACGUUAUCGCUUUUUUGAUCAUUUUCCACACCUUUCUUUCUUCUGUUGUUACCUGUUUGUUUCCUUCAACCCUAGUGUUUAGGUUUUUGGUUUUGAUGAUCCGUUGGUUUGUUCCUUUUUUUUCGUGUUCUUCUGAGGAAGUUUGUGAAUAAGGACGGAAAUCAAGUUAUCUUCGUUGAGGAUUUUGUGGGGGUGGGGUGGGUCGGUCAUUUAUUAGUAGGGUUUUACCGGGAGAGACGUUGGAAUCAGGCAGAUUUUGUUAGUUCUUCGUGGUUAUUUUGCUGGGGAUUGGGAUUUUCGGUUGAAGGUUGUGGGGGUUGCUGUUGAAUUGAGUAGUUUUGAAGGUUGGUUGAUAAACAAGAACUCUGUAGACGAUAUUAGCUUCUUUUAGGGAUUUUAGAUCAGGGUACUUUUAGCAGUGAAGUAACGAUUUGAGAUUUUGGAUUUUAGUUUAGGGCUAAGGUUUUUAAUGCUUGGGAUUCUAAAGUUUAGCAGCAACGGCGGAGCGUAAUCUGGAAGAACGGUUGAUUUGACUUUCCUUGCCGUGCCUCCGCCGUAGACGACGGAUUGGUUCAUCACUUUUCUUUGUGAAAAAGAAAGGUUUAAUUUGGCUGCUUAAUCUUGUCGGUCUUCAUCCUGUGGUUGAGAUUCUUCGUUGUGGAUAAGAUGAGCUCAAGCGUGACAGAUUCUGGUGCAAAUAGCGGCAAGUUGCUGGUUCAUGUUUCUGAAAAUGGACAUUCAUUUCAGCUUGACUGUCACGAGGGUAUGCUGGUUGAGGAUGUGAUGCGUUUGAUUGAGUCGGUCACUGGGAUUAACUGUAAUGAUCAAGUUAUUCUCUCUUUGGAUGUUAGACUUGAAUCGCAGAGACCCCUUUCGGUUUACAAGCUUCCAGCUGAUGAUCGGGAAGUUUUUUUGUUUGAUCGAUGCAGGCUACAAAGCAAUUCGCUUCCGCCUCCACCGGAGCAGAUUGAUAUCCUUGAUCUUGUUGAGCCGCCAUCACCUUCCUCUUCUCAAGAUUCCCAUCCUUUAGAUGAUGCAUCAGACCCUGCUUUGAAAGCUUUGCCUUCUUAUGAGCGUGAGUUCCGUUACCAUUAUCACAAAGCUCAUAUGAUAUACAGUAGUACAAUGAUGAAAUAUGAAUGCUGUGAGAGGCUUUUGCGAGAGCAGAGGGUUCAAGAGAGAGCUAUAGAAGUUGCAAGGGGUAAUUUGGAUCAAUACUAUAAAAUGAUUACUCAGAACUACACAGAUUUCAUGAAGCGCUAUUCGCAGCAGCAUCGUAUUCAUUCUGAUUUGUUGAUGAAUUUGGAUAGAGACAUUGGGAAAUUGAGGUCUGUUAAGCUUCAUCCUGCCUUACAAACAGUCAACCGCAAGUGCUUACUGGAUUUUGUAAAGGAAGAUAAUUUGCGGAAAUCAGCAGAAAAUUGCAGCAGUUCGCACAGCCAGUUUGAGAACAAAGUUUUUCAAUUUAAGGACAUAUUCAACGAGGUUAAGCGGAAAGUUGAGGAUUUGUUUUCCAGCAGGGCUUCUUUCUCUAUAAAAAAUUUGGAACUGAAUAUAAAGGAUCAUCAGCGGUAUAUCAGCGACCAAAAGAGUAUAAUGCAGUCCUUGAGGUUAGCUUCUAUGUACUUCUGCCAUAGCUCAAGCAUCCACACCGUCCAUACUACUACCAUCUGGUUUUGUCCUUGGCGUGUGAAUUCAAUACUUUUUUCUUUUUUCACUUAUGUUUUAUCAUCUGGUUUUACCAUUACCAUCCCCCUCCCAAUUAAAAUUUUACCUUUUUUUCUUUUUUCCUCGAUCCUCUCUCUGUAUAUUCAAUACUUUAUCACUUAUGUUUGUAAGUUCUUUUUAGAUGGUGACGAUAGCUACUUCAAUCUCGUGUUCAUGUAUCUGGUACAAUCUGAAAUUAUGUCUAUUACAGUAGUUUUUUUGACAUAGAAAUCAUCUCUGUUGCAGUAGUUAUUAACUGUUCUAAUGUGUUUGGGAGGUUGCUAGGUUUAAUACUUCCUUGCAGGCGUUGGUCCCCCCUCCUCCCCAAUCCUCUCUUCGUGUAUUCAAUACUUAUUUCUUAUGUCUGUCACUUCUUUCUUAUAUUGAUGAUAUUAGUUACUUUAAUCCAAUGAUUCAUGCAUCUGAUAAAAUUGGAAUAUUGUUCAUGUUACACAUCUAAUACACUAGUUUUUAACUGUUGAAGUGUAUUUGGGGAUCGCUACGGUGGACGUUUUUCAUUGUGUUUUUGUAAUUAUGAGCAUGGCCUUGAUUUAUUGAAUUGGAGUCAUUUUCUGUAGUUAGGAUUAGACUCUCUUUUAUUAUUUUUCUUUUCUAUUUUGUGUAUUCUUUCAUUUCUCUCUCCCCAUCAGCAUGGUUUUUACACAAAAAAAGUUCAAAAAAAACUGUGUGGUGUGUUGACAAUGACUCUAAAGUUUUGCUUGUUCAUAAUAAUGCAGCAAAGAUGUUGACACUGUAAAGAAACUGGUGGAUGAUUGCUUAUCUUGUCAGUUAUCUUCCUCACUUCGCCCUCAUGAUGCGGUUUCGGCCUUAGGUCCUAUGUAUGACGUCCAUGACAAAAAUCAUCUGCCAAGAAUGCAAGCUUGUGAUCGUGCAGUUUCCAAACUACUUGAUGUUUGUAAGGAUAAAAAGAAUCAAAUGAACAACUUCUUGCACUAUUACAUGCAAAAGAUCGCUUAUAACUCUUACAUCAUCAAAGAUGUCAAAUUACAAUUUCCUGUUUUUAAAGAGGCGAUGGGGCGUCAGGAUGACCUAUUUAUGGACCUAAAGUUAGUGCGAGGGAUUGGUCCAGCCUAUAGAGCUUGUCUUUCUGAAGUUGUGAGAAGGAAAGCUUGCAUGAAGCUUUACAUGGGUAUGGCUGGUCAAAUGGCUGAAAGGCUUGCAAGAAAGAGGGAGGAUGAAGUUAGAAGGCGUGAGAUGUUUCUGACGGAACAUGGUGGAUACUUUCCAAGAGAUGUGAUAGAAUCCAUGGGACUAAAUGAUAUUCCUAACCCGUGUGAUGUCCAUAUAUCUCCUUAUGAUGAAUGUUUGAUUGAUGUUGGUAUCUUAGACCUUGACCGUUAUGCCCCUGAGUACUUGUUAGGAUUCCCUUGGAAGAACGAGAAGCAAGGAAUCACUAAGGACUCCUCUAUAAAGUCGAUUGGAGCUUUGAGUUCUGGUGAGGCUGAAGAAAGUUCGAAGGAUACCUUUGAGAGUUAUGGGUCUGGUGAGCUUGUUGAAGGUUCUGAGUUAAUAGAGAUUGCUGGAACCAGCAAGUUGGAAGUUGAAAAUGCAAAAUUGAAAGCUGAACUUGCGUCUGCUUUAGCCACGAUAUGUUCAUUUUCUUCUGAAUAUGAUUUAAGUGACGAUAGCAAACUUGACAGUGUCUUAAAGAAUGCUGCUGAGAAAACAGCUGAAGCCCUGCGUCUUAAAGAUGAGUAUGGAAAACAACUUCAACGAAUGCUUAAAACUAAGCAAAUGCAGUGUGAAUCAUACGAAAGACGCAUUAAAGAGUUGGAACAAAGACUGUCAGACCAGUAUGUGCAGGGGCAAAGUCUCUCAAGUAAUGUGGUGUCUGAUUUUUCAGUUUCGGCUGUAAAGAGUGGUGAUUGCAAACCACAAAUCUUAGGUGGUCCAGAAGCCCCUGCACUUUGUGUAUCUACUUCAGAGCCAAUGGAUGAGGUUUCUUGCAUCUCAAAUUCACUAGAUGUUAAGCUGGGGCUCUUUGCUGAACAACCUGGCAGAGUGCGUGAAGCAGUGGAUGAAAAUAUGUUGGAUUCCCGUGGUGAUCAGAAUCCUCAUUUGGAUUCCUCAAUGAUGGAACCAAAUCGUGAAGAAUUUCAAGACAAUGAUAAAUAUGUUAGAGAUAAAGUAGCAGGGCAGAUGGGAAUAUCUCUGACGAACAGUUCCACAGCUGAGAGCAUGCCUCGGUCUCUGAAUGUCUUACCUUGUGAAACAGUAGAAAAUCCCAAUUUGGAAUCUAAUAUUCCAAAUGGCCUUCUGCUGGAGUUGCAAAAUGCGCUUGCAGACAAGACCAUUUUGUUGAGUGAAACUGAAACCAAACUUAAAGGUUCUUUGGAGGAGGUUGUCGUACUGAAGAGAGAUUUGGAAGCUAGUAGGAAACUUCUUGAUGAAUCUCAGGUACUAAUUUAUUAAGUAACGACCCUUGGCUCUGCUCUAGACCAUGGGCCUUUUGAUCGCCUCUUAAAGAUUUAUCUCACUUGGAGCUUUGUUUAUAACUAGUGACCAAUGCUUUGACAGCCUUGCGUUCAUUUUUACCAUUUCUGUGACUUCUAGCUUUCUCUCAUAUGUUUCUCACUUUUAUCCAGCCAACUAUUUCCUUUCUUUUUAUUAUGCAUGGAUCCUCUAGCCCUGUUGUCUUGGUAUUAUUCAGUCUUGAUUUACAUGAACAACCCUACAAAUGGACAAGAUGGAGGUUAGAUUAAUAUUGACUCUGAACCCAAUUCGUUAGAUCACCUUACUAAUUUAUAUUAGGGAUUUUUAAGCAUAUUAAAUUAAUUGUAUCAGAAUGGUUGUCAUUGUGACCAAAUUCUAGGUCUCUUGGGGAAAUUUGUUAGAAGCAGUCUUUUGAAUCUGGAUAUAACUUUGGAUGAUCAUGGUAUUUCGUUUUGCUCCACUCUCAAAUAUUGGGGGUGUGGAUAGAUGCUGUCGAUUUGUCUGCCUCCAUUAGUUUCUAAAAUUUUUAAAUUGGAGAAGAACCAUCUCUUCUUCAUUGCAAGUUUAAAAGCAGCUGCUGGAAUCAGCUAGUAGAAACGUUUUAUAUUUCAUGGGUUUUCCCAAACCAGAUUGGGGAAGGGGAGCGAUGAUCCAGCUGUUUGUUGUGACUUACCGAUGGGAAUUAACCCCAUAGCUUUUUGUUUAACUCUUCCAAAACUAGUCAAGGUAACUUAUUUGAAAAGAACCAACAAUACUUUUAGGACAAACUAGGGAUUUGAUUGACGUUUAAUUGUAGGUAUUCUAAUUUUUAAUACAUGUCAGCUGUGAAGCUUUUCAGCAGUAGCAUGUUUGUGUUUGGGGGAUAUCUUAUCCCUCUCCCCUUUUCUUGUUUAUAGCGAAAAUGUCCAGCUGAUCAGUGUCCUGUUGGAAAGCGAGGAAUUAAGUAUUUCGUGAUUAUAUUUUAUCCCUCUGCUUUAUCUUUCUGGAACUGUGCCUGUGACCCUUAAUCCUUACCUAGCAGUCGGACACGGAUGCGUUCCAACACACUAUAAAGUGUGUUUGAAUUGAAUUUUAUGUUAAUUUACAAAUUUGGUCCCUACAAUUUUCGGGUUGUAUCUAUUUGGUUCUUGAACUUUCAAACAUGUGCUGUAUGUUCCUAAAUUUUCAAUCUUAUGCCUAGUAGGUCCUUGAAAAAUUCAAAUAUAAUCCAAUAUGUACAUGUCACUUUUCUUUAUCCUUGCCUCUUCAUGAAUUGGAAGUUCCAUUUCAGUCCUUUUUGCUGUUAUAUCUUUAAGAACAGAAGUUGCCAAGAAUUUGGAGAACAAAUCCUUUUUCAAGAGAACCUGCCCAUUUGUCAUUCUGAAAUAUUGUCCAUACUCCUUUCUCGACCUUAACAACAGAUGAUCCCUAAAUAAGGAAUAUAAAUUUGGUGUGACAAAGAGGUAUUAUUCUUAUUAGAACUCAUGUCCACAACUCACAAGGACUUCUGAAAACCAAUCGUUCACUUGCCUGGACAAACAAAUUGGGUGGUGGGCCUAAUUCUCCCAAAAUGAAAGACCAGCCUCCGUAAGCCAAACAUGCAUUGGAGGAAAGAGUUAGUAGAAAAUUUCCCUCUCCUUAGAAUAUAAACAGAGCCAUUGAUAAGUGGCACAAAAUCUACGUACGAAAUAAGUUGGCCAGUUUGCUAAGCUGGAGAGUAACUGUCACUCCUUGAUAAACAUUUUUUGUCAUUUUGUUUUUGCAUUGGAAGGUCAGUUUCUAAAAUAAAAUAAAAAAUCAGUUUGUCUUUGUCAAGCUUCCCCAGGAUUCUUCACUACCUCACAGGUGUGAAUUUUUGUUAUAUUUAAUGUGUUGGCUGAUCAUUGUGAGUAUAAUAUGUAAUGUUUAUAAAUUUCUGUAAAAAAGUCCUCUUUUCUCGGAACAAUCUCUUAGAAAACUUCUAGAAUUUGUUAAUUUUUAAAAUUGUUAUUAUAUGUAUAAUCUAGUCUUCAUAUUUCUAUUGUGAGUAGAUAAAAAGACUUCAGUCGUUUUCCCAUUCACCAAUAAAGUUCCAGAGGACUGCCUUCAACGCCAAUAAUACCGUGCCCACCUGCGAAGUGAAUGAAUUAUUUGAUAUUCAAUAAUUAAAAACUUUAAUGCAUCUGGAAUCCUAGAUUAUCAUUGGUGUAGGCUUUCCGGUAUCUCCUUUUAACUACCAUGGUUUUUUUAAACAGAUUUCAUUGAUAUAUGAAAUGAAAGGAGCUUAAAGAGCUUUCAUCAUACCAUAGUUUUCUGUUGAUGGUUAGUUAGUUUUCAGUUUCCAUGAGUUCUGAGUUGGAUUGCUUACAGCGGAAGCCCAAGAUUAGUUUUACGUUACUAUACCUGUGAUUUGUCUAACUGUGGUUUUUCAUUUCUAUUUUAGUUUUCAUUCAUCAUGAUCAAUAAUUUUUUUCCACGUCAAUGCAGAUUUUUGUUUAAGGUUUUUGUGAUCAUUGUAAAUCAUUCUUUAUCCAUCCUCGCAGAUGAAUUGUGCCCACUUGGAGAAUUGUCUGCAUGAAGCGAGAGAGGAAGCUCAAACCCAUCUUUGUGCAGCUGCUCGUAGGGCUUCAGAGUAUACUGCACUUCGUACAUCAGCUGUGAAGAUGCGGGGCCACGUUGAAAGACUAAAAUCUUAUGUUUUUGCUCCGAAUGGAGCGGCUGCUUUUGCUCAUUCGUUACGCACUUUAGCACAAUCUUUAGCCAAGUAAGUCGCUUUUUUCUUUCUUUCUUUUUUUUGCUUAGUUACUGGUUUCCAAACCAUUCCCCUUACCCACACUAAAAGGAGAGGAGCAAAUGCCACCUUAUACCUAGUAUUCCGUUGUUUUUCUACAUGCAAAUGAAUGCAUUUCUGCUCUUUCAAUUUUUUUCUUUAAAUAUUCAUGUGUUUUAAAAUGCGCUUGUACUGUGGUGUGCAAUCCUCCUAGUUAUAAGAUUUAUUUAUUAUCAUUUUCUACAAUACGUAGAGUCGAAUCUCUAACCUCGAGCUUGAUACUAGUUGAUAAGCUAUUGGUCAUUUUUUUUAUAGUUAUGAGAUUUAGUUCUAGAACUAUGAACAAUAUGUAGAGUCGAAUCUCUAACCUCGAGCUUGAUACUAGUUGAUAAGCUAUUGGUAAUUUUUUUUAUAGUUAUGAGAUUUAGUUCUAGAACUAUGAACAGCAAAUUUCAUUUUAUUUACCUUUACAUUUAAUUCUGAAUUCUAAAGAUCUUGUGUUUCAAGUAUCCUUUUUAUGAAAUGUUUUAUCAGUUAUUUAUUUAAUUAAUGAAACUUACCUAGAAUUCUAUUAGUUCUGGCAGUGACAAUGAAAAUGAUGGCACAAAUGAAUUCCGGCAAUGUAUCUGGGCUAUAGCAGAAAGAGUUGGACAUUUGGUCAAACAACACGAGAAAUACGCAAAGCUUGAAGCUACCAACGAACAACUUGUCAAGGAACUGGAAGAGAAGAAAGAGCUUGUUAAAACUUUAUACACAAAGCAUCAACUCGAGAAGCAGGUAAUCUGUUUGAAUAUGUUGUUGGUUUAAGUUCAGGUUCAGAUUGCUCAUAAUCUGGAUCGAUAUACUGAAUUGAAUUGCGCCAUCUUACAGGCAAACAAGGAGAAGAUUUCUUUUGGUCGAAUGGAAGUCCAUGAGAUUGCUGCAUUCGUUAGGAAUGCAGCUGGGCAUUAUGAGGCAAUUAAUCGUAAUUGCGCCAACUACUACCUGUCUGCUGAAUCCGUGGCUUUAUUUGCUGACAAUCUCCUAACUCGUUCUAACUACAUUGUUGGGCAGAUUGUCCACAUUGAACACCAAACUGUGAAACCAUCACCGCCUUCUCCUCGGCGUGAUCAUGGUACGGUGGAUCAAACUGAUUGUGUGAUCUCCGACUCGGGGACUGACAGGUUGACCUUGAAUUCAGGUUUAUCUUCGAACCCAUACGGUCUCCCGGUCGGGUGUGAAUAUUUUAUAGUGACCGUAGCGAUGUUACCGGAUACUGCUAUUCAUUCAACAGCUUCCUGAUCCCUGCAAACAACAGAGUCUGACAUGAUGGAAGAUCCCAAGUGUACAUAUCAAUAACAUUGAAGAACAAUUGUUGGGAGGUGAACCUUUAUUUUUCUUUUGUACAAAAUGAUGGUGGAAUGAGUUUUUAACCCCUCACUUUAUACCCAUCUCUCUAUGUAAAUAUUUUAAAACACUUUUUUAAGUGUUGAAAACUGUGAAUAUUAUUGCCACCUACUCUUCUAGUUUGACACUACUUUGAUGACUUCAUAUCUAUAUAUAAAUAUUAGUUCAAAAUGCCAAUGCUCAGCUAAUUUCUCAUACCCAUGUCUUCAUCAAAAUCUUAUUCUCUCUUGGAUUUUACAAGUUUUUCCGGGACUCCUUUUACUUUUCUGAUUCUGCCUCUUGAUUUUUUGAAUGGAUGGCCUCUUCGAGAUUGUGUUUUUGACCGACGACUUGUCGCUCACAAAAGUAUGAAAUCUAACCUCGUAGUGUUAAGGAUGACAUCUCUAUUACAAUAACCUUGUAGUGUUAAGGAUGACAUCUCUAUUACAAUGCCAGUACGUUCGUGAUGAUCUUACAUUUUAUAACAGUUUGUUGGAAUUUUUCAUGUGAUAUAUUUAUUGCCAUGUGUAGAUUCCUCAAGCAAUCUACCAAUUCUAUCACAAUUUUUCAUGAAUAUAGGUGGAAAAAACUCAGAUUGUCAUAUCGUGUUAAGACUAUAAUAGAUAUGGUAUGCAACAAAGUUAGAAAAAAACUGUUAAGAAUCUCCCACUAAGAUAUCAUUCAUCCAAAAAGAUUGUACACGUGUUGACAAUAAUUUUACAAAGUGGAAAGAUAUAAAUAAUGGUCGACAGGACCUCGCAUCUUAUCUCUUUGGAAUCUUUUUUUUUAAAAUGAUAAUAUUAUGAUGGAAUUUGGGUGGGGCAUGACCUUCACUUUAUCUCUUCCUAAUCUAAAAAAUGUACUAAUACAAACAAGUAACUAAAAAGCAAAAUUACAAACAAAAUACGAAUGUCAAGUAAAGUAUAACUGAGAAGAUAUGUAACCAUAAGUAUCUCUUGGUAUUCUUGGUUUUAUCUUUGUAAAUUCUCUGACGCUGGAUAAAUUUAGGGACUUACUCUCGGCUUUUCCCCACACAUCCUAAUCCCUUUGAAUUUAUUCUAUCAAUUGGACAUGAUAUGUCUUCCUAAACCAGAAUCAUUCGUCACUCCACUAUAAUUGUUUGCCAUCUCCAUCAACCAUAAAUGAGAUUUGGUCUAAACAAAAGGUUAUACUUUCUACUUUUACAAUGGUAAGUCAACAAUCAUAAACACACUUCUUAAUAAGUCAGCCUGGAAAAUUAGUAUAGGGAUAUUUAGUUGGCUAAGUUGUUUUAACAUUGAUAGUUCUGGAAAAUAUGUUCAGGUAAAUGAUUGGGUUAAAUAUACUCUCUUUUAUUUCAAAUUUUUGAGUUAGUUAUCAUACGAUUUAGUAGAAAAUUUUGAUUGUGUUAGUGCACUUUGGUUGCAUUUGAGAUUUUGAUUGAUUAGGAAACAGCUUCAACUCUUUUUAGAAUUUGGCAACAAUAAUUAUAAAUUAAUUUAAUAGAAGAUUUUGUUUUUUUUGUUUUUUGUUUUUUUUUUUUUUUAAAGUUGGUUUGUAAAAGAAGUUUUUUUGAUAAAGUGUUAAAAUUACUUAAAUAAAGAAUUCAAUUAUUAUUUUUUUACUUUCAAACUAAAAUUGAUGAAAAACAGAUCUCAGUGUAAGUAUUCGUAUCCAAUAAUGGAUUAAUAGACGAUAAUCUGUUGUGUUUAUGUAUGUUUAUAAGACAACAAAAGUAUUAGUUUAGGAAUACAUCUAUUUUAUAAUGAAAUUAAUAGAUGAACACAACACAUAACAGAAAUAAAAUUAAUAGAUGAUAAUUUGUUGUGUUUAUGUGUUACUUAUAAGGCAACAGAGGGAUAGACAUAUCAUUGAUUGAAAUGUCAAACACGAAUAUAACUAGUUAUGUUCAUGUGUAAUGUCAAACACUGAUUUACAAAUAUAACAAUGGAUAUUUCAACCCUUAGCCAUAUGUAUCCUCUCUUCUUCCAUAUGAUAUUCUCUUUUCUACUCCAAGAAAUUAGAAAAUGAACAGGAACAUGUUGGACAAGCAUUGCAGCAAAAUAUGUAGCUAAUUUCGUUUCAAAUUGUAUAACCUCUACAAUGGAUUGAUUCAUCAAGGGUUAUUCCAUUUACAACUUAUGUAAGUUGGUUUCAUAACAUUACAUGGGAAAGAAUUGAAACAGAUGUAGACAUACAUAAAAUUGCCUAAAUACAUGAAAUUACACACAUAGGAUUCUUCAUCAAUAUAUAUUUCAGAAUCCCAUGAAGAUUUACUCAUCUGCUUGUAAAUCGUCUCGACGCCGAUUUCUGAAGCAAUGUACAGAGAAACAUUUCAGCCAGAGACGUCAACUUUAACUUUAGCUUUCACUAUCUUCUUCUGAGAUAUUGAACAAAAACUUUGGGAUAGAAGUGAUUCGAGGAAGAUGCAACAGCAAUUCACCAAAUGAAUCCUUCCUAGACAUACCAACUGCCUGCUUAGUGCCCGAGUUAUCUUUUACGUCCUCGCCGAAAGCUUUGACAUCUCCCCUUAAUAUGUUACCAACUUUAUCGUUCUUCCUACUGUCGGGUCCUUCGACUCGACUUUCAUCGUUGAACAGUGAGUUCUGAGUUGUGGGAUUGGCUGGAUCCUUUUGCAAGAGACAACAGAGAGAAUUGACCCUUUUCAUGAGAGAUUUCUCAUCAGAAGUUGUGGAUUGGUUGUCGUUCAGGAGAUAUUGUGUAAUGUCUUCUAGUAUGUCUUGGUAUUCUGGUCCUUGAUUGGCAAAUGACGAAUUUGCUGCUGUCAUCUGCUCUGAAAUGCAGUGCCCAAUGUGGUUCACGAGAUCACUCAUUGACAUGGACGGGUGGAGCCCGGGCACUUUCAUUUGUUCCCAAUUCCUUGGGCUUCUAGAGCUACCAACUUCAAAAUUUGCACUUGCUUCGGCUGGUACAAGAUUCCAUCUUUAAUCAAUAACAAAGGAAGAGCACAGAUAUUUUGGAAACAAACAAACAUUUGGUUGGACUAAUUCCUGACGAAAUCCUUGCAAAAGGUACAACUCAAAGAUUCCAGAAAGAAAUUGGCAAGAGAUAUGGACGGAAAAGGAAUAUUGACCAUUCAACUCAUGAUGUUGACACCAUGUGAUUUUUUUUGGACUCACAGGACAUUUUGCAAGUGACACGAUUUUGCACUAAGAAUUCAUGAACUCAAAAAUAAAGAAAAUGUUUUCCUUUUGUCCUUAAAAUUAAGUAGAAUGAACACAUCAUUCAACCAUGACAAUACACAUAAUCAUAAACAAAAAUAUGUUGUCAUGUGGUGUGGCAUGGAAAACAGAUAUUUCCAGUAUGUAAUCCUUUUGAUAGCAAAAUCCAUUUAAACUCACAAGCUAUAUAAGACAUUUGUUGUCAAGUAUGGAUGAUAAGGAUGCUAGAUUGCUGGGCUACCCUUCGUUCAUCCUCGCUCUUUUUUCCAUUUAUAAAUAUAGAAAACUAGAAUUAUUGGUUAAAAUAUCUCAAAUGUUGGCUAUUCAGUUAACAUAUCUUCAAUGUUAAAGAGAUUCUCUAUAUUGGGCCCUAUUCUAUAUUACUUUUUAACUUAUUCAAUUCAAUAAUAUUCUAAUAACAAGAUACAAAAGAAGAACAAUAAUAAAAAAAAUAUAUAUUAAAACAUAUCCACUAAAACGCAUAUAAAAAAUAGCAAAUCAAUAAGUUGUCACCUGAACAAGGUGAUGGUGCUUCUUGAGAGUGAUGCUCUACAGUCGUACAAGUAGAGUCUUGUUGUUCUAUCUUCAGGGAUGAUUGCUGAGGAGAUGGCGAGGUACCAUCUGUCAGAACAGAUACGAUUGAUCCUUUACUAUUUUCUGCUUGGUGUUCUGGAUCCUCAAAAACAGACACUCUUCGUUCGAAAUAUGGUGAAUCCAAAACUAUCUCUGGUUGUCGGCUUAAGAAGUUAAGACGCAUAUCACACUGAAUUAGCUUUUCAAAGUGUUUGUUCAACAAUCCUUGAGGACAUUGCAGAAAAUGUUGCCUAAAAAUCACAAAAUUAGAUUUCUGUAAUGAUUUUCAUUCCUACAAGAUGGAAAGUAACCAGCAAAAAGAAAAUUAAAUGGCCAAAGACAGAGUUCAUGCACCCAAGAUAUGAAAAAUGAAAACCCAGUCAGCACUUGAAGAAAAUGAGAUGAAAGAAUAAAGAAAUGACAAUCUAAUCUAAUUCUCCCAUUCAACCAUCUCAGAAAUGAUAUAUCAAAACAGAGGUUCCUCUACUAAAAAAUUUAUGCACAAAAGACAUGAAGAGUCUAUUCUAUAGACAGACUUCUACCACUGAUUAUCACUGAGAAGUAAAUUUAAACACAGAGCACAAAAAGGAAAGUGUAAGGCAUAGCAUUUUAGUCUUCAAAGAUGGUAAAAUCACAAGUAAUACCUGUGAACAGUAGCCUGGCCAUCGGUAAAGUCAGCAGUCGCCUGCCAUAAAGUGUGUUUUCUUGGUUGAGGGUUUGUUUCCCUGAAGAAAAGGGGCUGCCUAGCCAACUACAUAAAAGAAAAAUAAAAUAAAAUAGGCUGCCAUAAAAUAAAUACAAGAAGUUUCCCAAAUAACUCUCAUGUCUUUCAAAAAGAGAAAGCAAGCAAAUAAGGCAUUAGGCAAAAAUAAGAAGUGCUUACCACCACAUUCAGAGUACCAGGCCCAUUAUCAGGACAGUUGGCCUUUAAGGCCAUGAUAUCAGACCACUGGAUUUCUAUUUUACUCUUCAACCCACCUUCAAGAAUUUCCCAAACAAGCUUGUGCUUAGCAAAAUAACAUUUUGCCACCAAAUCACCUUCAUAUCUUGAUUUAUACUGUCGAAAAUACAUGACCUCAAUUACUUAAUAUCCACACCAUUUAAAAAUGAUUAAAUACACAAGGGAGAUGCAUAGAUUGUACCUCCCAACCACCAAUCCUUAGAAGCGAUGCAGGAAAGUUUGAAGCUUUCAACUUAUCAGUAGAGGAAGGAAUGACAGUGCCUUUAUUUUCCUUUUUCAAUGAAGAGUUAAAGCUUUCACAUUCCGCCACAUCGCUUGAAGCAGCAGUCGAUUGUGAAAGCUUCAUUUGAAUUAGAUCCAACAAUGAAGGGCUCUUCCUCAACCGUAAACCAAGAGGACUAGGCUCAUCAAGCGGAUUAUAUUGUGAAGGCGGUACAGCAAAAUCAUCGUUACCAUCACUUUGUUGCUUCAAGUUUGGCAAGAUCAUGCAAAAACAACAAACAAAAAUGGCCAAAAUCAUUUCAACUGACGAGAAAAUCACAAUUUGAAAUAAAAAUUUCAACCGUAACUCUUCAACAAUCAAAAGUGCAUCAUCUCACCCCUAAAAAACAAAUGGAAUAGCAAAAAAAGAAAAAAUAAUACAGAAGAUCAAUCUCCGUUAAAAAAAAAAAGUUAAUAAAUAAUAAACUUCAACGUUGAAAUGCAUAACAUUCAGUAGUCAAAAUAGUACCAAGUAUUAAAAAAAAAUCUCUCAACCCCAAAAUUUCUUCGUAACCAAGCAGAAGAAAAACCAACACCACAUACCGGAGAAUCCGUCGUCACCGUUUUCAAUCGCUUGGGGAAGGGACCAUGGUCCUCUUCAAGAGAGUCUUCGAUCUCCAGUUUCACCGGUACCUUGUCGCGAAAGGACGCCAUAUCGGGCUCAAGAGAAUGAUUCCCGGAUUUCAUCAACUGCACCAUCAAAACUCUUGCUCUUGUUCGACCCUUUUUUCAGAUACCGAAAAUUGAAACAAAUGGCCAAAGAAAUCCAAAAUAGAGCUUCAAAACGAAUACAAGAAUGAAGAAACCCUAGAACGACGAUCUGUGACCAAAAUGGAUAGGAAAUACGAAAGACGACGGAGAUUCUGAAAGCUCCACAGAAAAAUUUAUUUUUUAUUUUUUAAAAUUUAAUUUUAUUAAUUUUAAAUAAAUUAAGAAAAAUAAAAGGGAGAGAGAGAAGAGAAAAAAAAAAAGGAUAAAUAUAGAGAGAGAGAUUUUGGGAGAGAAAAAUCAUAACGCCGUCCGGGUCGGGUUGGCGGAGUCUAAUUUGACGGCGACAUUCACGUGCGAUGGCACGUGCGCUUGGAUUAUAAAUAGUUAAUUUGUCUUUGUCAUAUAUAUAUUUAUAUAUUUAUAAUAUGGUAAUAUUAUUUAUUAUUUUAGUUCUCCUCAUGGUCCCAAACAUUUUAUUAUUGUUUUUCUUUCCCUAUGCUUCAUGCAUUUAUAUUCUUUUUCCUUUACUUCACCACAUACGUAUAUUUCACGACUUGUAUUCUACAAAUUAUAAAUGUUAAGUUCAAAUAAGUUUUUUUUGCUAAUUUGGAUAUGAAAAUUUAAGUAGAUGACAAAUUAUAAACGGAAUGUUUAAAAAGUGUAUUAUAUUGUUCUUUUUCAUUUCUCAAAUUUGUCGUUUUUUAAUGUAUGGAGUAUGUCAUUUAAGUAUUAGUAGUGUAUCAAUGACAUUAAGUGUAUCAGAUUUAUUAGUAUUUUUUUAUAUUUUAUGGAUGAGGUUGUUUUUUGUCAUUUUUUUCAAAAGUAAUAAAUUUGAGCUAUCGGCUUAAUUUUUAAAAUUUAUGUUAUCGAGUGGUAAGAAGUUCCUUUAUAAAUUGCAUUUGAAAUCAUUUUUUUAAAGUAUGUUAUAGGUAUGUUCUAAAUGAGAAAAUUAACUUCAAACUAGUUUAUUAUGAUGUAAUUUAUCUUUAAAUUGUUUGUUAUUAAAUAAUAUUUGUGAUCUAAAUGUAAAAUAAAACAUGAAUUUAACUAAAAGAAUAAAAGGGAAAAAAAAUGAAAGAAUUUUAUUUAAAAAAUAGAGUUAAGUUUUAAAUUAUGCAUUUAAUUCAAUGGGACCAUAAUUUCCUUAUUAAAUAUUAUAACUCAAUGAGCUCCACUCACUUUGCUUUCACACCCUAGCAACCUAAGAGUUCUUCUUUUUUUUUCAUUUACUCUUUUUAUUGUGAGAUUUUGAGUCAAAACUUUCUUUUAAAAAAAUACUAAGUGGACAAUUGAAGAGUUUAGAUUUCUUCCAAAUGUUUAUAUAUGUAUAUAAAAAAUCAUGGGUAGUUUUCUAAUAAAAAAAGUUUUUCAAUUGAAGUGUAAAAGACAUCACAUUUUGACUAAAUUUUAGUUUAUUUAUAGUAUAUUGAUAUCUUUUACUAAAGUUUUUCAUACUUAUAUCUAAAAAUUUGCAAGGUAUAGUAUUUAUUUUUGUAUUGAACUCUUGAUUAUAUCACUAUACCCUAAACUUGGUUAAUUAUUGCACUUUUCAUCCUAAACAAAACAAAGUACCUGUUUUUAUUUUAUAGUAGGCAUUUGUUUAAAAGAAAUAUUAUCACCUAACUUGACACAAAAUUAGUAGAGUAAAAAUAGCAUUAGUAUUUAUUUUUUAAAAAAGAAUUACAAAUUAUAUUUAGAGUUUAAUUUGGUCGAAAUUAAAAGUUGAGGUGAAUAGGGUUUUUACACAUGAAUGAAACCUUUCAACUAAGUGGAUCCAAUUAAGCAAAUUAAUGAAGUUUUUGCUAAUAAGUAAUUUACACAAGUGGUUCAUACAAAUGCAUUUACCUCCAAAUGUCUUAUAAUGUCAUAUACAGAAAGUCAAACACAAGUUGUAGCAAUUAAUUUUAUGCAAUGAACUAUAUCAACAAAUUAAUUGUAAAACUAAAUAGGAAAAGAAUAGAGAAAUUGACACGACAAUUGUAUAGUGGACCAACCAACGUCCACUUCCCAAGUUUCUCUUGGGUAUGUCACUAAAUUUGUUGACUCUUUCUAUGGAUUAGAGAUAAUCAAUACACUUCUCUUUUUACAAGUUCAAGGAUAAAUCCAAUCGUUUCCACGGAUCACAAUCAAACGGUCAUAAAUGACUUCUCAUUUAGUGAUGGAUUUGGAAAUGAAGGACAAGAAAAUGAAAACUCUCUCAACUCAUUUAGUGAUACCAAAAAGCUAACAACACCCUAAUUGUACUAAAGAUCAAUAAUAGAUACAUAUAGCUUUUUUAUAGAGUACACAAAAAUUAAAAAUGAUAAUCAAUAGGGUAUAUAAUUAAGUUUACACUAAAACUUUUUAAUAAUCGAACUACUUUCAUUUUAGUAAAAUUAACAUGCCAAAGCAGAUGAAUCAAAUCCCUACCAUAUUAGAUAAAAUAAGAUUCAAUCUCACAAUGAUAAGAAUAUUUCAUCUAAAAUAACCUUCACUCGAACAUGUCCCUAAAAUCUCCAAAAUCUUUGUUUUAUAAAAUCUAAAAUGAGAAAGAAAGCGGAAAACAAAAAUCCUUGCAAGGGGUAGUUUUGUCAUUUCGGAAAUUAAGUAAAGCAAGGGUGAGCUGGCAGACAGAUACGGAUUAAAUGGAUAAAAAUGCGGGACCCAGAAGCUCCCUAUUUAGAGAUUGACACGUGGGGCCUCGAUUGACACGUUUCAUUGUGAGAAGCAAUCAGAUGGGAACGUCAUCUGAUUUCAUAAGGUGGGACCUCACUGCUGAUUGGUCCACAUAAGAAACCGAUCAAAAAUCAUUAUCACAGGUGACCAACAAUAAUAGAGUUUUUAAUUUAGUUUUGUGUCUUUUUGCAUUUUUGUAAUAUAUAAUUCUCAAAAAUAAAAUAUUUGAUCUCUUUUUUUUAUUACUUUUGAUUUAUUUGUUUUUGUUAUAUAAUUGUACUGAUACAUGAGACUCACAUCCAAAUCUAUAAUGAAAUAAUGUGAUUUCAUUUACGAGUUAAGAAAUUGAUUGAUUAUGCUUGUGAAUUACGUUUUAUCGUUAUUGCUACUGAUAGUGUCUCGUAUUCAAAUAAUUCAAAAUGCAUUUCCUUUCUUGACAUGAUAUAGAAAAUUUCAGACUAAAAAAAUCUAUGGAAAAAAGUUGCAUCUUCCACCUCCCCAAGCACGAAGAAGUUUCGAAAGGCUGAUUUCUCUUCAUUCACUAUGGAUCAGUACGUACCAUCAAAGCAAGAUCGAGAGGUUCAAAGAAUUUGAAUGCGCUUUCUUGAUUUUUAGUAGGUUUAGAGACCUUGUUCAUUGAUUUCUUCGAGUGGGGCUUCGGCCGCAAUAUUAUUUGCACCUUGCACUCAUCUUCAGCCAAUUUCCCCAUCGCACUUAGGUCUCAAUUGAAUCCAGCCUUGAGACGAGAGUCAAAGACUGUUAUCCUAGAAUAUAACAACGAUAUAUCAAUUUUCUAACUCUCAUAUGAUAUUUCCCUCUUUUCUAUUGAGUUAAAACUUGUGUCGUAGGGCCGAUUUUAUACCCUCUCACAUAUUCUCUUGAAUAUCACACUUUAUUAUUAUUAUUACUAGCAUCGCGAUCUUACAAAAGCAAACCAUAAUAUCUUUUUCACACAACAAAAAUGGAUAAUUUAAACCACAAACUUCUAUAUCGCUAACACAAGUAUGUUAAUUGAAUUUAGCUUGUUUCGAGUGUAAUUAUAAAUUUUAUUGUUAUGAUUUGUAUAUAUAAUUACAAAAACAAGUUGCAACUUUUUUUGAAAAUUUAUUUUAAAUAAUAAAACUUCUAAACCAUAAACUAAUAUGACAUAAAUAGUAGUUUAUUUUCUUCUAUCACGGUCUAUACGUUUAUCUAUAUUUUAAUUUUUUUUUUGUUGGGUCUACAAGGAUCAUCAUAAAUAUUCUCUUUAAUCUCAAUGAAGGUAGGAAUACAUUCUUUUGCCCUUUUUUUUCUAUUUAAUUAUACUUUUUGAAAGUAAAAUACAAUAAAAUACUAGACUUUAUAACACAACAUAAUGUAUAUUAAGAAAGGGCCUAGGAAAAAUAAUAAAUAAAAAAAAUAGGUUCAAACAAAGAAGUUUACAUUGGAAAAGACAAAGAAAAUAAAAACAUUCACAAGAAAGGAAAGAAUUGAUGGAUUAAAAUAUAUAUUCUUAAAAGUUUGAAUUUAGUACAUACACUUUUAGCUUUUCAUUAUAAUAAUUGCAAAUGGAUUAAAUGAUGUGUUCUUAAGUUUGAACUUAAUUAGUAACUACACUUUUAACUUUUCAUUAUAAUAAUAAUUGCAACAAUUUUAUAAUAUUCUCUUUCUUUUUCUUUAAAUUUUGUAAUUCACAUAUUUCUCUCCCUAUUAUAUGUUUCUAUAAAAAAAAACAUUCAAAAUUUAAGCAAAAUUUUCAAAACUAAAAUUAGUAAUUCAUGAUGGGAAAAGGUGCACAAAUCAGCAAUUGAUUAAUUGAUCUUAAUUAAGUCAUUAAUUAAUAAAUGAAAAUAUAGUACAAUAAACAGCAAAUAAAGGAAAAUACAUUAAAAGACAGAAAAAUAAAAGCACUAAAUUCAAGCAAAAAGAAGCAAAUGAUUAUCCAAUGGAACCUAAUGGAACAUUAUACAACUAAUCAUAAGAAUUGAUGUUCAAAUCUGGAUCCUAAUUACUUAUGUUCAAAAGGUGAGAGAGAAGAAGAAAAAGAAAGAAGUUUUAUGUGAGAUGUGAAAUAAUCUCAAUAGUAUCUCGAGAUUCCAAACAUCAAAACCUAAACUUUGCAACUGGCAAAGACAAACGAAUAAACUUAGAGAAAGAAUUUCUCUCAUCUAAAAAAAAUUAGUAAAAUAAGUAAAAAGAGAAUCCCAAACUUUCUGCUUCCGCACAUUUUGACUAAUCUUAUCGAACAACUCAUUUUAUUCUAUAACAUUUGGGUGAUCGCCAUGGGUUAAAUAAUUAAUCUUUAAGUUAGUUAUUGAGACUAUAUGUCUUAUUUUUACUAUUAGGCCAACCAAUAGUAGUUGAGAGUCGCAAACUAUUAAUUUACGAUCAACAAACUUACAAAUUAAGUUAUCUUGCCCGUGAUAGAUCAAAUAUAAAUCACUUCAAUUUGUUGACUUAUAUACAUUUUGCAAAGCUAAAUCAAAGAAAAAGAGACAAAAACACAGGUUUGUUGAUAUUUAAGAGGUCAAAAUUAGGGGAAAUUUUUGAAGAAGAAAAAAUAUAUAUUCGUCUGCUUCUUCUUCCAGCCUUUUGAAUCAAACAUAUUAAAAGGUAAAUCUAAAAGAACUACCACAAGUAAUCAUUCAGCAAUCAUAGGAGAGAUUCUCAAUACUGAAGCAAAUCAUUUAUUCAUUAUGAUCACACAAACAAUAACCAUAAUCUAAAAUUAUUCCUAGAGAUAAGAUGCUAGUGAAGGGUAUACUUAUUAAUCAGAGAACAAGUUGUUUCUUCUUGAUUUCUUCGUCCUAUGUAUUCAACAUUUAAGCAAUUGGUUAAUUACAAGCAAUGACUUUUACCUUUAUUCUGUAGAGUUUUGAAGAAGCUAUCAGUACAAGGCUGCCGAAUCUUGAAAUCUGUAAAGCAAAGGCUAUGACAGUUUUCAACUGCAUCACUUCAAUGAGACUGAUCUUAUUCUAAAAGCUAUGCCAAUGAAAAUAUACUGUAUAAUCUCAACAAUGAAAUUGCUUAUUUUAGAAACUAAUCAUAGAAUAAUACUUGAGUUGUUGUGAUAGAUUGGAACAUUAUAAAAAAGAAACAGUAAUCCAUUAAGGAGGUGUUUGGAUUACUGUGUUGAGUUAUGAACUCUGAAUUUAAAAGUUUGUGGUUGAGUUCUUCAAAAAAUGGACAAAGUAAAGAAAUGAAAGAUAGAAUUCCUGAAUAACUGUUCGACAAUUCAACAAAGGAAACAAUUGAGUUAUUUAACACCAGUAGGCCAAACACCAACUAAUAAGGUUCUAAAAAAAUUUUACUAUCUAUUUUUUCUAUAGAUCUUAUUAUAGGUUCUCCAUGAAAAAUACUACAAACCGUUGCGUUUUUCUGUGUAGUUCCAUCCAAGCCAUGCCAUUUUGCAUGCAACGGUCAUCAAUUUUUCUAAAGAUAACGAGAACGAAAAAGUAAAUGCAAAAAUAAUUAUAAUAUUAUGCUCCUAUUUCCCAAGGCUUCCAAGUGGGUUUCUGGCCACAGGCCUGUUGCCCAUGCUCUGCAAACUAUAGUAAGCCAAUAAGGUGCCAAAAGUUAUCUCCAAGGUAAGUAAUUCUUAUUCUUUUUAAAGGUCAAGUUUGGCUUGCAGUCUAAGCAUAUGUCGGAGGGAUGAUUGCUUCUUUCAUGUUAUAUAUGUGAGAUGUAGCUUUUUAAAUUCCUUAGCUUCUUUGAACUGUUUUAUUUGUAAUCGUUUAUUCUGGUUUUAGAGGUUGAGCUUUUUCCUUUUUCAAGCCUCCACAAGCCAUCUCUUUUGGUAUGACUUUCAAUUCUAGCUUCUUUCUUCUUUCUUAGCAUGCAAAUUAUAUUUUCCCGCCUUCUAUGGUUUUAGAGUUGCCAUAUCUGUAUAUAUGAACUGUAAUUAGCAAAUCUUAGGCUGAUUUAUAGCUUCUUCUUUUUAAUUUCUUUGUGUAUACAUGCUCCACGUGGAAAAUACACUUAAAUAUUCAAUAAAACAAUAUGGUACAAAAGUAGAUGAUCCAAAAGGUUUUGUGUUCAAACCUUGCAAUGUUGUUUUCUGAUCGAUUAAUAUUGAUUUUUCACAUGUUUAGGGGAUAAUGUAUUAAGUUUAUUUUCACACUUUAGCUUAAGCUUUUGUCAAUUAGUGAUUUAACAACCACAAGGACAGAUAGUAUAAGUUUUGUUCAACUUCUUAUAUUCUUUUUCUUUAGGGCUGUGAUGCAGGAAGGAAGGAAAUGAUUCAGAAAUAACAAUGGAAAUUUGUUCUAUACUCUAGAAGUUUUCGAGUAUUCUUCACUUAUUUCUAUUAAAGGGAUUAUAAAAGGACAGAAGGCAAUAUGUUUUCUGAAUUAUUUGACCUCAUUGUACCAGAACAUAUCAGUUUCAUAUGGGGUUACUGGGGCAUUGAGUUGCUAGUAUUGGCAAACUUUGUGUUCCAAGUAAUCCUAACUUUCAAUGGAAGUCGUAGAAGGCACACACCAGGAAAUAGGCUCAGCUUAAUUGUUUGGUUUUCCUACUUAUUAGCUGCUAAAAUUGCAACUGUUGUUCUGGGCAAGCUCACAACAAUUGAUAUAGGGCAUGAACAGCGCAAUACGCACACACAAGUCCAGGCGUUGUUGGCACCACUAAUGUUCAUGCAAAUAGGAAAUCCAGAUACAAUCACGGCCUACUCAAUUGAAGACAACCAACUUGGAGUGAGGCAAGUUUUCAGUAUGGUAAUCCAAGUGGGAAUUAUGUUUUACAUUCUAGUAAGGUCAUGGACAGAUUCCAAAACAUCGUUUCUUUACUUGCCGAUGUCUUUGGCUGGAAUAAUCAAGUAUGGUGAGACUUCAUGGGCUCUGAAAUCAGCACUUAAUGGCAACUUUGGCUUCACAAUUGCUGAUUUCUUCAAAUAUCACGAAGUAGCUGAUUUGUUUAACAAAUUGCCACAGGGAGAGAACGAACUUCCAGAGGCAAACUUGAUCUUGAGGGCCUACUAUAGAUUUUGCUGCCUAAAACCUCAUCUUGAAAAUUGGCUUUACUAUCCUCCAACUGAUUGUGAUCAAGGUAAACUACACAUUAAAGAAUGUGGGUAUGAAGAUGUGUUCAGAAUUACAGAUGUCGAAUUGGGUUUCAUGUAUGAUGCCCUCUACACUAAGGCACCUGUUGUAUACACUCGUAAGGGUUUGAUUCUUCGUUUAAUAAGUUUGCUUAGCGUAAUUGCCACACUAGUUGGAUUUUCUGUAUUGUUCAAGGAUGCAUUUGUGUACAAUAUUAGUAUUGGCUUCAUCCAUUUUGUGUUGAUAGCAGCUUUGAUAAUUGAGAUUUAUCAGAUCUUGAGACUACCAUUUACAGAUUGGGCUAUAGUACAGAUGGUAAGGCACCAUGAAGCUUUCCCAAUCCUUCGGGGUUUCUUGCGGUCUCUAUCCCCUCAGUCGGCAACUUGGAGAAGGUGGUCUAACACAAUGGGGCAGUUCAAUCUUUUAGAAUUCUGCUUGCAAACCAAGCAUCGGAACUACAGCAGAAUAAAAAUUCUCCGCUAUAUGGGAAUGGAUAUGAAACUCCGAAAGCAAUUGAGUUUGGAUCGAAUUGACGUCAGUCCAGAGGUGAAAGAAUUUGUGGUGACAGAACUGAGAGAGAUAGAGGCGAUCAAAGGAGAAGAAGAAUUUGAUCAGAGAGGCCAAUGGACAAUCAAUAGGUACAAAACUUUACUGAACCUCAACAACGAAAACAAAUUGAUUAAAGCAAUUGAAACAACUGUAUCAAAGAGACCCUUUGAUAAGUGCAUCUUCAUAUGGCACAUCACAACAAAUAUUUUCUAUAACAUCGAAGGUUAUCGUGAUACUAGUGUAGGAAAUAAAACGGAAGCUAUCAUGAGUCUAUCAGAUUAUAUGAUGUAUCUUGUGGUGACUCGUUCCCACGUGCUAUCAACAACAACUGCAGAUAUAAUAUUUGAUCAUUCAUGUGUGAAACUCGGGAAGUUCACAAGAACUGGACGUCUAAAGAAAGAGGACAUCUGCAAUGAUAUUCUGAAAUUAAAGAAAGAGAGCAUCCUUCAUGCAAGAGAGCCACAUGAACCAAUUGAAUCAGAAGCAGAAAAAGUAGUUGUAGGAAAUUGGCAUCUGAUGAAGGAUGUAAAAGAACUUGCAGACUGCUUAUUGGCACUGAGCAACGAGAACAAGUGGAAGCUAAUUGGCAGCAUGUGGUUUGAGAUGUUGGGAUAUGCUGCAAGUAAAUGUGAAAUGGAAUAUCAUUCAGAACACAUCAGACAAGGUGGUGAAUUGAUCACUCAUGUUUGGCUUUUGAUAGCCCAUAAUGUUACCAAAUACAGUUCAUAUGAAUACCAUGCGGGAGGUCAAGAUGAAGAGACUCCAGCUACUUCUUAGUUAGUUUUUCAACUUCUUUUUCCUUGAGAAAUGAAAUUUGAUUGCUUGUAAGGAAGUUUUAUGCAUUAUCAUUUUUUUGUGGUUCAUUGAUUGUUUUGUAAAAAACAUAAUAAUAAUGCAUGUGAAGUCAUCCUAUCGAUACUGCUACAUGGGAUUCCUUAAUUAUAAAAAUUACAAUUCAUGGGUUUCAUUCAAAUGGGGUCAAAGAUAACGUAAACAAUUCCUCAACUGACCUCAUCUUCAAUGGAGAAAAGUUCCCACCUCGUCCUUAGUCCACUUUCUGCACUCUUCUGAUCCAUGGACUUAGCCUCUCAAUCAUUCUAUGAAAUACUCUUAGAAAUCACUGAAGGGAGAUUUGGUGAAACCUCUCGAAAGAUCUUUAUAAGACGAUUUAUGGAAGAAACUCCACCUCACUUGUAUGCUCUUUGCUCUUUUGUAUAUCGCUUCUGGAAUGUUAUUUUGAAAGUGUUUUUCCGGUCUCUAGUUUAUAAUAAAUUUCCAUGCAAUUUCACAACACUAAUCAAAUAAUAAUAUUGUUUGUAAAAUAAACUACUCAAAUAACUAUUUUCAUCUAAAGUUCUCCCGGUCGUAAACUACUAUAAUAAUCUUUGCUCAUCUAAAAUAUUAAUGUUUAGCUCAACGAUAAUUGACACGAUACUUCUUAUUAAAAAUUGAAAGUUUAAUCAUUUUAUAUAGUUGUUGUAUUAAAAGUAAUUCACUGUUGUGGCUUGAAACUAUGGUGAGCACCAAAAAACCAAGUACUCAAUAAACUAAGGUUAGACGAAUUGAGAGCAAGCGAUUGAAGAAAGAAAUAGCUCGGUCGGGAAAGAGUCCAAACCAACAUUUAAAAAUAAAUUAAAGCAUAAAAUCGAUUGACUGACAGAUCAAUAGCCUAUUUGCACUAUUCGACAGUCAAGUCGGUUUGAAUAUUUAUUAAAUUAGUCAUAGCAUGUUCAUUAACAGUUUGGUUGGAAAAUCGACUCUAACCAAUAUAUCCAAAACCUAUUUGAAAGGAACCUACUCAAUUUUCUAUUUUUGCUUUCUUUUUAAAACAAAAUAUAAGAAAAUGAGGAUUGUACUCUUAGUAUAAUAGAUAUUUCCUUUUCCCUUCUUUCUCGAUUCAAUUUCUCACUUUUACUCUUGGCUUUUAAAUUAAAAUGGUAUAUAUAUUUGUUGUUUGUGAAUGUUCUUAAAAUGAGCUAAAUUUUGAAACCUAUCCCAUUUGAUUUUUUUAUUUUGUUUUUAAAAAUUAAUUUCUCUACUUUUUCAUCUCUAAAAUAUUUAUAAAACAGGAUAAAUUAUAUAUAUAAAAAAAUAUGUCUAUAAAAAAUAUGCUGAAUUUUUAAAAAUUUAAAAAAUGUCAUUAAACUUUAAAAAAGAAUUAAAAAAAAUUGAAAACGUUAAACAUUAAAAUUUUGUUAAUUUGCAUGAAUAUGUCCAUAUUUCUAUGGAUAAUUUCACAUUUUCAGAUAGAGUGGAUGAAUAGAUAUUUCUAUUCCAUUGUAAAAAAUCACAAAUCACACAAAAAUAAACCUGAAAAUGACAUUAAUAUAAUAAAACAAAUGUCUAUUUACUUGUUUGAAAACAACAAAAUACUAUUUACUAAUUUAAAUUUAUUUUAUAAUUUUUCCACAAACAUCUAUCCAAAUGAAAAUUUAUGUAAAGUUAAAACUUCCAUAUAUCUUUCAACAUUUUAAAAUUUGGUUAAAACAUAAAAUUCCAUAAAAUCUAAAAAUUUUCAAAAUAAAAAAAUCCCUUUGUAACAUAGUAAACAAAAAUUAGUUGAAUAAAAAAAACUCACGUUGAUAGAUCUAUCUACAAUUAAAAUAAAUUUAAAAUUGUAAUUUUAACCUGAAAUUUUGGUUAGUGAAAAAAUUCGUGUAAAAUUUAGAUUAUUUUAAAACUUUUUAAUAGUUUAUCGGUAUAUUUUAAACAAAACUUAAACAAUUUUAGAUAUUUUUUAACCAUUUUUUAAAGUUUAAGUGCAUUAUUUAAACUUUUGAAAGUUUAUGGAUAUUUUAAAAUAAACAAUAAAGUUUAGGGAACAUUUUUAUAUAAUUUAACUUAAAAAAAUAUAAAAGAUAUAUUUACGAUAGGUUACUGUAUGUGUCUAUUGUAGAAAUCUUUCGUAAUUUUUUGUAUUUGUAAAUAUUUUUCUUAAUUCCUAUCUUUUUUUUGGAGCUGGGGAGCAUGUGCACAUUUGAAUUAAGCAGGGGUAUUUUAGUAAAUUUAACAUUUUUGACAAACUGAUUUUUGUUAGAUUUUCAAAUAAUUUGAAGUUUUGGUAUUUUAAAAUUAUUUUGCUAUAGUUGUCUUCUUAUUACAAUUAAAGAUUUUAAUUUGUAGCCUUUUUUAGUACAACAGAUUUAAAUGUGUAAUUAAAUUAAAAUAAAUAAUGCUUAAGAAACAAUCAAAGGUGAAAAUAUGUAAUUAAUUUAAGAUUUAAUACAAGCAUCAAUGAAUUGUAAUUCAACGGCCAGGAUUGCAUCUAACGCAAUCAUCAGAUGAUAAACUAAACUCCUCCAAUAAAAAUCACACUGAAUCCGCGACUCUAUCGUUUAUUAUACGCCCUCACAUAUUCCUUCCUCCUCUCGCCGCCUGCCGACGAUUCUCUCCUUCCACUUCCCACGAUGGGCGGCGCCGCCGACAACGGUAAUCUCUCUCUACAUUCAGUGGCGGUUCGCGUUUCUUAGAUCUCUGAAUCCUUUCUGAAAUUUCUCUUUUCUCUUUGAUUUUUGCAGCUUCAUCGGGAUCCUCGUUUCUCUUCGAUAAAUCGGCGAAGAUCUUCGUGGCUGGUCACCGUGGACUCGUCGGUUCCGCCAUUGUCCGAAAACUCCAGCAGCUUGGAUUCACGAAUCUCAUUCUUCGUUCUCACUCUGAGCUUGACCUAACUCGCCAAUCCGAUGUCGAAUCGUUCUUCGCUAAUGAAAAACCUCGAUUCGUUAUCCUCGCCGCCGCGAAAGUUGGUGGAAUUCACGCUAACAACACCUAUCCAGCGGAUUUCAUCGCCAUUAACCUUCAAAUCCAAACUAAUGUCAUCGAUUCAGCCUACCGCUAUGGCGUUGAGAAGCUACUAUUUCUCGGUUCAUCAUGUAUUUAUCCUAAAUUCGCUCCACAACCGAUUCCUGAAGACGCAUUACUAACCGGUCCUCUGGAGCCGACAAACGAGUGGUACGCGGUGGCGAAGAUCGCCGGAAUCAAAAUGUGUCAAGCAUAUCGAAUUCAAUACAAAUGGGAUGCAAUUUCAGGAAUGCCGACUAAUCUAUACGGUCCAAACGAUAAUUUCCACCCGGAGAAUUCACACGUAUUGCCGGCAUUGAUGAGGAGAUUUCAUGAGGCAAAGGUUAAAGGAGCAAAAGAAGUGGUGGUUUGGGGAAGUGGAAGCCCUUUGAGGGAAUUUCUUCACGUCGACGAUUUGGCCGACGCCGUCGUUUUCCUCAUGGAGGAAUACAGUGAUUUGGGGCAUUUGAAUGUUGGAAGUGGGAAGGAGGUGAGUAUCAAGGAGCUGGCUGAAUUGGUGAAAGAAGUGGUGGGAUUUGAAGGAGAUCUUGUUUGGGAUAAAUCAAAACCUGAUGGAACUCCAAGGAAAUUGAUGGACAGUUCUAAGCUUGCUGAAUUGGGAUGGAAUCCAAAGAUUUCUCUCAAAGAUGGGCUUGUGGAUACUUACAAAUGGUAUGUUCAAAAUGUGCAGCAAUGAAGAAAUGAACAGGAAAAAACACAGGUUAGUCCACCAUUUUCAAUCAUCUGUUUGAUCCUUUUGUUGUGAUUGUAGUUUAAAAAUCUAUAUUACUGAAUCUAAUUUGCAAGAUAUGAAGCUUUUAUUGUUUUCUGAUAUUAUAUCAUCUACGAUUACAUCCGCUAUAGAGAUUCUGUUUGAUCUUUCCUUACCACUAGUAGAUUGAACCAAAUACAAUUCCGAAUAAAUUUUGCAUUUUGGAGAUUUCUUUUCUCUUUCAUUUUUAAACAACUACUCUAAAAUGCUUGUGUAACGCACAAUUAUACAAAAAACACUUGGAAAUCGAAGUCUAAAGAGAAACAUGAAACCUUACCUAGGAUUGCUCUCCACACCCUGAAAAAACUCUAUGAUUUCAUAACAAAGGCACACACCUCAGCAGACCACAAGAACCGAACCUAUCCCUUUUACAGGAGUGUUGAGGAGUAACUCUUCGAUCAUAUCUCUUUGAUAUAGUCCCUCCCUCUUAUUGGAGAACCUUGUCUUUCCUGCAUUUUGUUUUGCAAGGCUUAGGGAUUUUGAAGUGCUUGUGGGUGUGAGAAUUUUGAUCUAUAAUGGAAGAAAUUCGUAUCAGUUUGAGAUAGCUGUAAUGACAAGUUCAUAACAGGCAGUUUAGAAGGAAAACAAAUACAAUUUUCUGUUUUUAAGUGGGAAGUUGGGUAUUUAGAUUUGAGGUAGCUGUGUUUAAAUAGACCACGAAGCAAAGCAAAUCAAUCAUUUGUGAAUAUUUAAGUCUCCCUUAGAUUGGAGAAAUGUUAGACCAAAAUGGCUCAGUUGAAGUAUGUAUUUACUUUCUUUCUUUCAAGUCGGAAGUUGAAUACCACAGUUUUGAUUCCAAUUAAAUAUUUUGGAUUAAUUUAUUUGCAUUUUGUCCAUUUUAAUUAGGACCUUUCAUCACAAUUUAAAAAUAAGUUAAGAGAGAAGAGUUCACCUUACUUGGAGUCAUUUUUUGGAUUUAAAGGGGAAAAUGAUUUUGAAAUUCUUCAAAUUACCUUUUUUUUCUUUUCAUGUUCAAAAUAAAUUCACCUUUAAUCACUCAAAAAUAAUAAAAUUUUAACUUUUUUUUUUUGCCUUUAAAUGUAAUUUUUAUACCAUAAAAAAUUUGAUUGAGUGAUAAAUAACAUGUUCGAGGUGAUUUUAAAAAUGAAUACUUAGGUGAUGUUGUCUUAAAGAAGUUAUUUAACAAUUUGCAUUUACGGUGUGUUUGGUAGUUUGGUAGUGAUGUUGAGAUGAUCAAAAUCACUUUUUUUUUUUAUUUUUUAUUUUACAUUAACAAAAAUUUAUUUUUAAAAAAUAUAAAAUCAUUUCAAAUUGGUUUGAAAGGAAUUAGGUGAUAGGUGAUUUUGGUUGAGUAAUUUUUAUCGAUUAGAUGAUUAUAUUAGUUGGAUGGAAAGUUGAUGUUUAUAAAUAAUGUUGUAGGGUUUUUUUUUCACUUCAUUUCAUUGCUCACACUAUACAAUAUUUGUUUGUAAGUCACGAAUUCAACCCUUAAAUUGUUGAAUAACUAUUUCGUUUUUUUAAUUAAGUCUAUAAAUACUACUUUUUUGUUUUUAAAUUUCUUCCCUUUUUGUUAUCUAUUUUUUAUAAAUGGUCUAAAAAUCAAACCAAAAUUUGAAAACUAAAAGAAAAAAGUUUUUAAAAGCUUUUAAUAACGUGUUUUUGUAUUUCAAAUUUGGGUAAAAAUCCUACCAUUGUUUGUAUUGUUGUAAGAAAUGAAGAAGAGAUGUGAUUAAUUUUCAAAAAUUGAAUUUAAAACCGAAUCGAACCCAACCCUUUCAACCCUUUCUACCCAAUUUGAAUUUGAGAAAUUAAAAAACAAAAUCAAAAGAAAAGAAAAAAGGGGAAAAGAAGCCACGAUGGAUCCAAAGGAUAAAAAAUAAAAUAAUUGUUGUUUAUUUUGUUGUUGUUGUGAUUUACUGGACAUAAGGUGGGUUCCCUAUUUGGUAUUUUAUAAAAUGGAUGGGAUUGAGUUUGGUUCUCUUCUCACGUGGCUCCAAAAUAACGAAACCUUAAGACCCAUCGUUUUCAUUUAUAUCUUAUGUUCCCAUGUAAUCUCUCAUCACCUAACCUUUCUGUCUAUUUCUAUCUUAACCCACCAAAUAAAACAAAACUUUUUCUUAUAAAAAAAAUAUCUAUUUGUUUCACUCCAACACUUACAACAAAAGGUUAUAUAUUAUAAUCGAUUUCAAACAUCGUACAAAAUAUAAUAGAAUUAAGAUAGACUACUAUUUGUAUCUAUUAUGAUGUAGUUAGACACAUGUAGUAGAAUAAAAUUAUUAGUAUUUAUGUGUUUACCGUUAUAUUAGUGAAGGUUUAAUAUCGUGUCUAUAAAGUAGUCAAAUUGAAAAACAAUGUAACAAAUCAUCCAGUAACAAGAAACCAUAUUAUAUUUCUAUUUUCAAAAUCUUAAAAAGGUAGGGAACAUUUGAGGGGGUGUGAUGAUUAUUAUAACAUGUGGGUUACAAUAAGGUGCAUAUUAUCUUAAUAUAGUUAUAACUAUAAUAACAAUGUAGUAUUUGAGAUCUAGACUAAAUAAAAUGGGUUGCACACAAAGAAAGAGGGAGAUAAGAUGAGAACGAAACACUAAACAUUGUAGUAAAAAGGAUUUUGAAGAGUGAUGUUGUAGUUAAUUACAAGUAUCAAAGUUGGAAGUACCAACUGGUGUUGUAACGUCUCAAGUUUAGAUGGGGCACAAAUGAAUCAAGAUUACAUUUGAAUAAGUGGAAUAUUGAGAAAACGAACUCAAAAGAAUUGAAAAUCACUAUCUAUACCGACAAGGUAUACUUUCAUUUAAGUGACUCAGUCAUGAAAACUUCAAAUUUAAGUGUGUUUAGCUUGAAGCAAUUUUAUGUUCGGUGACCAUUUUUCUAGAAAGUAUCUUUGUUAGGACAAACCAUUUUGAAAGAACCCAUGGUGAUUUGCGAAGACAAUCUUUUCUCUUAAAAACAAUUUAGACAUGCAAUGAUAACGUUGUCAAAUUGUAGGGAAAUGCCAAGGUCGUUUUGUGUUAAUCCAAAUUUAGAAUUCUGGUUCGAACCAUGGUCUUGAGGCAUUACAAUUUAAUUAAAACAUAAAGUGGACUAUAAUAGCUUACGUGGUCGAAUUACCGACUUUAAGUUAAUGCGAAAAAGUAAUACAAUUUCCUCCCUCCAAUCAAUUUUCAUUUGGAUAUUUUUUUUAAAUAACAAUAAAUUAUUUUCAUAUGCAUUAAACCAAUUACCAAACAUAUAUGUAUGGUAUAAAAUUGAUAUAAUUUCAUAAAAACAAGAUAUUCUAACAAUAAUUUUGUUAAAAGUUGUGAUUUUAGCUAUGUUAUUUUAAAUUACUAAAUUUAGGAUGAUUCGGAAUUGCUUUUUGUUAAAAUUAUUAGGUAAAGUAGCCAAAUACGAACAAUAAAUUAAAAUUAUAAAAUUUAUAUAAGUUACUACAUAGAUGAUCUUUCAUACGAGAGAUUGGGACGUUCGAAUCUUACCAAAAAGAAAUUAUUAUAAAUGAAGCUUUUUAAAUAUAGAAAAACGAAGAUUACUACCAUUAUCUAAAACUAAUAGAAGUCUAUCAAGUUGAUACACGUCUAUUAUGAUAUAGACUAAUAAAAGUUUAUUCGUGUCUUUUCAAAUUUUAUUUAUUUGCAAAAAUUUCUCUAUCAUGUAUUCAAAUAUCAUCCCUUUAUUUUAUAUUUCUUUUUAACUUUAUAAUAAAUUGAUUGAUUUGAUACUUAGGCCGAAAUAGUAACCCUUUUGAUUCUUUUGUAUUUAAAUUUAAUUAUAAUUUAAUAAAGUAUGUAAAUUCUUUUAAAAUAUAAUUUUUAAAUAUUUUAACAACAUUCUCAAAUACACCAAAAUAUAUAUAAAAUAUAGAUUAAUUUCGUAUAUCAGAGUCAAAUUUGAAACUUUAUUAUAUAUAAUAAUUUUUCAUAUUUAAUAUGAUUUUAAAAAGAGAAAUUUUCAAAUAUAGUAAAAUAAACUAAAUUUUUUGCAAAAUAUAGUUUGUAUUCUAUCACACAAAUAGAAGGAUAUCGGUGUCUACCAAUACAUAUUUCUAUCAAUUACUGUAGUACAUUUUAUCGUCAAUUUGUUAUUUUUUACGAUUUUACUUUCAUCAAGCCAAAAAUUUUAAUAUUUUGAAAAAUUGACAAAGUUUUUUAGAUAAUUUUUGGGUACAAAUUUCAACUUUUUCCUAUUUUUAUUUAAUGCACUGUUUUUUUUUUAAGAAAAAUAGAAAAGAUUGAACAUUUAAGUUGUGAAAUAAAGGAAUUAAUUAUUGAAGAUUAUUCAAAAACUUUGAAUGGAAGGCUCAAGAAAAGUUAAGGUUUACUUUAUUAAAAAACAAACCAACAAACUCCAAUAACGUUCUUUUCCCACUUUCUUUCUUUUUGUUAUUUGGACAAAGAAAAAAAUAUAGAAAAUCAUUUGGGAUUUCUUUUCCUUUUUUGUUUGUAAAUGGAUUUUAAUAUUUUCGUGUCAAUAGUUUUAAUAUAUUUUUAUUUUAAAAAAUGUUCUCUAUUUUUAUAGUUGAGUGAUGCUGAUUUAUUCGAUGUGAGUUUGAUUUAGUGAUAUUGAUACAAUAUUUGUUUUUAAAGACCAGAGUUUAAAUUUGUUAGCCUGCAGCUCUAACACUAAACUUUUUUUUUAUUGGAUGUGAAUCAUAAUUAUAGAGAAGAAUAAGUCAUGGAUUUUUUUAGUGAUGGAUAGAGACGGAAGUCUAUCACUGUUUGUGGAUAGCGAUAGUGUUCUACCAUUGUCUAUCAUAAAAAAAAUAUGGUAAAUUAUGUGUGUUGUUUCGGAUGUAUAUCAUUGUCUAGACGUACAUUACUAUUACUUAUAGAUUGUUGGUGAUAGUUAUGCUAUAUAAUAUUAUUUAAAGUUUUGUUGAUUUGUCGUUUUAAUAUAUCUUUUUAAACGAAAAACUAUAGGAAAAUUAACUAUGGUUUCAAAUCACUUCAAAAAUGGAAAAUUUGUAUAGAUAAUCAAUAGUGAAACUAGAUAGACAAUGAUUGACAGGACAUAUAACUCUAUAUUUAUCUAUUAGUGAUAAAAAAAAUUAUAUAUAUCGAUUGGUGAUAGUCAAAGAUAGAGCUAUAUCUUUGUCUAUCACUAUUGUUCGCGUAAGAUUGUAAACAAAUUCGGUCAAUCAAAGAAGACGAAUAACAAGCACAUGAUUUCUAUAGUUCUUGUCAUUAAUAAAAAAAAAUAAAGUUCUAUUUAUAUCCAUCACUGAUGAAAAUAAAGUUCUAUCACUUACAAUCACAAACAAAAAGAAAGUCACAAUUAAUGGUAUAUUAAGGACAUAGUCGAAUUGUACAAAGUGAUAUAGUUGAACUUCAAUCAAAUGAAUUUGGACGAUAUCCAUAAUUGAUAGAAAAUGAUACACUUAGAACUGAGAUAAAUGUCUACAACAAAGGACAUUGAUUGAAUUGAUAUAGAUGGUUUAAAAAGAGGAAGAAAAUUGUUCUAUCAAUAGUUUAUCACUCGUAAUUCUAACACAUUUAACUAAUACAAUAGUUUAUCAAUUUCCCCUUUAGCUUUAUUAUAUUCUAUAUUAAUCCAAUAAAUUUAAAUAUUUAGUACUAUAUAGUCUUUAUAAUUAAUUUCAGUAGUUAAUUAAUCAAAAUACAUUUGUAUUUUAAACCUAAACAUCUGACUCACUUCUUUCAACUUUAACUACUAAAAAAAUCAAAAUGUAUGCCAUUUGCUUAAAUAAUUUCCUUUAAUUUUGAAAAAAAAUGUUAAACAAAGUUUACUUACUAUUCGACCGAGUGUUUGGGUUAAGGAGUAAAUUAGUUUAGUUAUAGAUUAUUACAACUGUUUAGAAUAAUAUUUACUGAAAAUACAUAAAUUUAAAUUGUACAAUUUAAAUAUAUUGAAUAUGAACUUCAAAUUAUAACUAAAAUAGUAGUCUUUUUAAUUACUAUUUUGAUGGAUGAAUUUUGUAAAAUUGUUCUACUUAGUUUUCUACUUUUAAAAAAAUUACUUCGAUUCUUGCCGAUAGAAUGUACUUCGAAUACAUAAACAAAAGUAACACAUUUAUCAAAUAAAACCAAAAAACUAAUUUUGUUUUUUUUUUCUUUCUAAAAACUCAAAUCUUUACAUCUCGUCAAAUGAGUUAAAUUUUGUAAUAAAAAGUAAAUUGAGAAGCAGUAUUUAGAAACCCCAAAAUGAUUGCAAUAAUUUGGAUGAAUGAAUCCAUGAUGUGGCAUUUAAUUAAAAUGAGUUGGAUUAUGGAUGUUCACAGCAACGUAGAUUAUAUUAGCAUCAAUUUGUAUAACCCAAUAAAUAAAAGAGAAAAGAAAUAGUAACAAAAAGUAGUGAUAGGUCCACAAGUAAUCGUCCUCAGCGUUAUUUCCAAAUACCCAUUUCGGUAUUAUUGCCAAGUUUCCAUUUUCCAAUUUUUUUUUCUAAAUUCAUCCUUCUUCUUUCUUUCUUUUUUUUUUCAAUAAUCAUAUAAUAAUAAUAACAAUAAUAAUUUCUUUUCUUUUGUAGAAAAUAAAAUAAAAUAAAAUAAAAAGGGGUUUUUGGUACUGACAUACUGUAGAGCCACCGUUCCCAAGAGUUUACAUUAAUUGCAAGACAGAGCGACAGAACAGUGCCCUAAAUAUUCAAUAUAAUAUCAAUUCAUUCAUUAAAAUACAAAUAUCAAAUCAUUUCUAUUUUUCUAUUUUUUAAAUUCUUAAUACUAACUAAUACAACAGUUGGCCCUUUCAAACUUCCAAUUUCCCCACACCGCCGUCUACACCGCCCUCUCCGCCGCCCCCUCCACUAUUUUCUUUUUACUCACCAACACCCAAAAUGACUCUUUUUUUUUAACAUUCUUCUAGAGAGAGACACACAGAAAUAUAUAUAUAUAUAUAUAUAUAUAUAUAUAUAUAAUAGAAGUAAAAUAAUAUUAACCCAUUUCAUUAAAUUAAAAAAUAAAUUAGAAAGAAAGAGCAAAAUGUACCUAAAAUGAACAUAAUGGAAAAAGAGAGUGAGAGAGAAGCCAAAAAUUAAGAUUAAGAAAAGAAAGGAAAAAGAAAAGGCAAUUACAAGAGAUUGAGCCGGUCCGCCAAUAUCACCACCAAAACCGCCGCCGCGUCACGGCGGUUCAGAGAUCAAACGCCGGAGGAGCCACGGAGGAGAUAAGCCAGAAGGGUCCUGCAGAAGCUAGUUUUUCUUUUUUUUUUUUGCGCCCACCGUAGAUCCCGCCGUGUUCCUCAUUCUAUUUAAGUCGAUUCCGCCACCGCCACCGCCAGCUCCGUCGCCUCCGCCGCCGCAAGAGGAUGAGACGAGACAUGUGAAAGGGCAAAAGGGGGAAAAUGGAAGAUUUGGGAUAUUUUUUAAAAAAAAUUAAAAUUUUCUUGAGGUGUAAAAAAAUUAACUUGAGAAACACUCAAGGAUGGAAUGUAAAUUUGGGGAGUGGGUCAGAUAUACAAAAGAAUGAUAGUCAAAAGAAAAAUGGAAUAAAAAUCCAAAAUAAACAAGAAGAGAACGAGAGACGAGAAACAUUUGGGUGUUGGGGUUUUUUUUCUUUUCUUUUUGGUUCAAUCUCUCUCUAGUUUCUUUUUGUUGUUUUUUCUCUCUCUAGUUUCUUGUAAAUGGGGUUUUCUCUCUGCUACUGUCAACAGAAGGGAAAAGGGAGAAAUUGGCAAUCAAUGCUUCAUAAGAACAGAAGGAUAAAAUGAUAAAAAAGAAAAAGAAACAAAUUGCAAGUUCUGCUUUUUAUACUCUCAAACUUUAAACUUUCAUUUCUGUAUAAUUGACCUCUCAAAUUUAUAAUAAUUGUAAACUAGUUACACGUAAUACAUAUGUUUUGUACGUUACGAUCUUGUAGUUUUACUUUUAAUUAUUUUUUACACAGUACAACAUUUUUUAUUUUAAUUUUAUGAUAUAUCUACUCUAAAGUGACAUGAAAUGAUACAUUGUGUCCUAGUAUAAAUUACUAUUUUCAUUUGAUUAUAUAUAUGUAUGUAUUCUCUAAACUUUGGAUCUCAUGAAAUAAUUAGAUUUUCGAAUGAUGAAAAUUGAACUCUAAAAAAUUUAUAUAGUUGUUACAACUUUUACAAUUAUGUAAGUUUGAUGAUUUUUGUUUUAACAAUUGUCUAAGAUUGAAGGCUUAAUUUUACUAUUUAAAGGUUUGAACGUUUUGCAAUAACAAUUAUAUUUUAGGGGUGAUUUUUGCAAUUUUUUAAAAAUAAACGUAUUAGUUUUUUUUUUUUGUUAAAUUAAAAUUUUAAUAAUUGUGGUUAUAAAGUUUGAUAAAAGUCUCAUAAACAGUGUUUAUGUUAGGGGCUAGUUAUGAUUUUAUUAAACGAUGGACUAUUUUUAUGAGAUAUGAUUAAAUUAUAUGAAUUAAAAUUUAACUGUUAGAAUCAUAGGAGACUAAAUUUCAAUAUAUUUUUUUCAAAUCAGGUUGACCAAAUUUGUAAUUUAAUUGUUGAUGCCGUAAAAUUUGUUUUAUAGGAAGAUUUGUCUGGGUGCCUGCAAGACAAAUGAAGGUAAGCACAUGUAUGGAGUCUAGUCACACUGUGGCGUUCAAUUUAGUCUUGUGCUUUCGAGUGACUAGACAAUAGAAAAAGUGAUAGGUUAUUUAGGUGUAUUUGGGCAAACCUUUGACUAAUUACCUUUGUUGUUUAUAGAAUACAUUGAUUCAUAGCUGACACUUGGGUCAUAAUUGCGCCUCUCUUAAACUUUCAUUACCGUUGAGUUGAUAAUCAAUUAGUAUUUGCAUUACCAUUGUGAUAGACCAAGAAUGCUCCUAUCAACUCCUUUUAUGACACUUGUCUGUUUGAAAUUUGAUCGGUUUCACAUUCAAUGUUUUAGAGCUCUUUCUUUGUGGGUCCUCUAAGCUGUCCUUGGUACUGCAUUGUGAUCUCCUCUUAACAAUAGGUAAGACUCUCUGGUUGUGGGCUCUCCUUCUGUGACUUCUCUCAAUAGGAUUUCUUUUAGGUUCCGUUGAGCUCGUCUUGAGCUAUCUCCUAGCUCCUAUGAACUUUUACUUCUAUUGAGUUUUCCUUGUGGGUCUUGUGGAGUUGUCUAACCUCUCCUUCAUGAGUGCUCUUCUUGAGCUUUCUCCUAUGCUCCUUUGAGCUGCUUUUCUCGAGCUUGCCUCAUAGGUCCUGCUGGGUUGCCUAAGCUCUCUCCCGGGCUUCUCUCACCUAUUAUUGAGUCUACCUUCCAUAUCCCACAGAGUUGUCUAAGCGCUCUCUCAUAGGUGCUUCUUCUCUUGAGCUCGCCCAUUUUCUCAUCUCACCUCUUUUUAAGCCUACCUUCUAGGUUCUCAUGGAGCUGUCCAAGCUCUCCUCCAUGUGGAUGUGAUGCUCCUCUUGAACUCUCUCUUAGGCUCUUAGAGCCUCUCUUUAGCUCACUCAUGGGUUCACCGAACUCCCUCUAUUAUUGCUUAGGUUUUUCCAUGGGUUCUCUUGUGCAGGCUAAAAUUUACCAAACAACAACUCCUUUUGUUUAUUGAUCUGAUAAUUUUAAUUUUUUUGUUAAUCCGUUCUUUUUAGAACUAAUUUAUGUGAAUGUUUUCCUUUUUCAUAUAAUAAAAAUUUCUAGUGCUCUAACCAAUUAGUUUGCUUUAAAUGUUAACAGAGUCAUAAUCUAACAUUAUUGUUUUCUUUCAUUUAGGAAAAAGUGUCAAAACCAAAGACAAAGUUAACAUAAAAGUCUCAACCACAAACAACAACUAAAAAAUGUCAAAGUUAACAACUACCAACAAACAACAACUAAAAAUUGUAAAAGUUAACACUAAUAGUACUCCCCCAAGCUGAUAACUUUAAGCUCAUUGGAACAAAAAAUCUAUAUUAUAAAGUAAAUUAGUUAUAUUACUUGGUUUUGUUAAAAUACCAAAUUUGGUCCAAUAAUCUUCAGUUGGUUAAAUUUUAGUUAUUAUAAUUAUUUUUAAUAAAUCUUAUAUUUAACUUUCAUAGUUUUUAUUAGGAAAAUUUUAAAUUAUCUAUUAGUAUCCUUACUUUGAAUUUUGAAAGCAUAUCCAAAUAUUGUAUUUUAGAUAAAAUUUUUGUUGAGAAAAAAUUAGUAAAAGUACUGAAAUUAAAAUCAAACAUUUGAAAUUGCAUUAAAAGAUUAAAAAAACAAAUAAAUAAAAUUUUAAAAAUUUAUUUAUAUUUUGUAAAUAGUUUUAUUUUUAUAACAAAAUUCCAUUUAUUUACAUUUGGUUUGUAAAAAUUGACUGAGCAGCUGCCUCCACCUGCAGCCAAAAGGGCACCAAACCCAAUUACUUCACUAAGACCCUACCCUACACCAUAGCCUUGGACCAAUCUUACUUUCAUAUACUUUAAGUCAUACAGUCUUCAUAAGUUGGAGUUUGGAUUGAGAAAUUUUUUCCUCCGAGAAAAACUCUUAUUAAUUGCGGAUUUGUUUGGAUUGAUUUUACAGAAUACGACAUAUUUUAAUUUGGUUUAUUUAAACUGAUUUUACGUCAAAAUUGUUUAAAAUAUACUUAAAAAAUCGUUUUAAAUAACUUUGAUAUUUCAAAUUAAACACUUGAAAAUGUAAUUCAUCCAUGUGAUCAAUCUAACUAAAAAAAAUUGGAUUGAGUUGGUUUGGAUUACUCAAAUCAUUUAUAAAAAUUUUGGUUCUAAAAAGAAAUAAAAAAUUUGAUUUAAGUACUUUUAUAUAUGGAUUCGAGAUUAAUAACUCGGAUUGAUCUUGUAUAAUGAAACUUAUCUUUUGAAAGUGUCAAAAUAUUAUUUUUAGAAGUUGUUUGAGAAUAAAUUUUUAAAAAACAUUAAUGAAAUUAAAUAAUGCUAUAAUAAAUAUAAGGAUCGUUUUAAAGUUAAUGUUAAAUUGGAGUUUGGUUGAGUUAUUUUAGUGAACCCAUGAACCAACCCAGUCCAUAAAUUUUUUGUUUAUUUGAACUCAACCCAAUCAAAAGUUGAUUGAUUUUUUCCAGUUAUUAGAUUUUAUGAACACCACUACUUUAAUAAUUUAUAUUUGUAAUAUUACAUUUUUCUCGGGUUAUUGAUUAUAAAAAAAUAUUUUUUUGGUUCCUAUGUUUUUGGGUUUAUUUUUAUUUAGUCCUUACAUUUCAAAAUGUUACGCAUUUAGUCCUUACGUUUUAGUUGUUGGUUUCAAUUUAGUUUAAAAGUAUCAAAAUGUUAAAAUUUUAUCUUUAAGAUAUGAGUUUUCUUUCAAUUUGGUCCAUAGAUUUCAAAAUCUACAUUUUUAACAUAAAUUUUUCAUUAUAUACUCACCUUUAAAUAUUGAUGCUAAUAUUCAGAGAGCUUUUGCAAAAAUAGCAAAAAAAAUUAUAAGAAUAAAGGCCUAUAUCACUACAUUGUCUAAAAUUCAAAAGUUACAAAUUUAAAAGUCGAUAACUCUGAUAUCCAGAAACAGGUUCACGAAUACCAUCAAUAUCCACUGGAGGAGCAGCAAUGAAGGCAAUAAUAAAUACAGAAGUUGCGGUCAAUAAGGUAGGGAUCAUCAAAACACCAAACCAUCCAAUGUAAAGACGGUUUUCAGUGCUGGUUAUCCAGUUACAGAAACGACCCCAUAGGCUUUCGCUUUCGCGUCUCUCUAAAAUUCAUUUGAUAUCACUAAUUUUGUUGCAAUAU